rnacentral:lncRNA from 1 species
UUACAUCUAGACUUCUAUCGCAAUAUUGAUUCAUGAAGAAUAGAUUGCUCCCAAAGGUCAGAUUGGGCUUUCUUGAGCUCUUGAACUUGUUGAUCAGUAGGUUGAGCUGUGAGGGAAUUCUCCAAGUCAUUCAGCUUAUGCUGGAUUAGCUUCACCUUGUUGCCCAAGUCUCCACAAUUUUCUUUGCUCCAGGUUUUUAACCUUUGCUUAAUUUUCUGAAGUUUGCAUUUCAAGGCAUAUCCCCCCCAUCCCAUAGGUUGAUUAGCAGACCAGCAGUCCCUCACCACCUUAUUGAAGUCCUUAUUGUGCAACCAAGCAUCAAAAACCCUAAAAGGCUUAAGGCCCCAAUCAAUAUUUUUAGAAUUCAAAAUGAUAGGGCAAUGAUCUAAGUAGUUCCUUUCAAGGUUGUGUAGGGAACUAUCAGGCCACUUGGAUACCCAAUCAUCAAAGACCAGCACUCUGUCUAACUUGCUCUUACAAGAACCAUUAGGCCUAACCCAAGUAAAGGGCUUGCCCAAGCAAGGAAUAUCAUCUACCUCCAUUUCAGCGAGCCACUCAUUAAAUUCAGCUAUAAGAUUAGUGUCUGCAUUACAAAGAGUGCUUCCCAUUCUUUCAGCUGGGUGUUUAAUGCAGUUGAAGUCCCCUACAAGGCACCAGCACUGAACCUGGGACUGAUUCUUCAUUAAAUAUAGCCUCUGCCAUAACUGUCUUUUGCUUUCUAGCUCACAAGAAGCAUAGAUAUUAGCCACCACUACCCUCUGACUUUCUACCAGCCAUACCCCCUCCAACAUGAUGAAACCCCUUUCAGCUAUUUUAAUAUCAACCUGGAAGUUAUUGUUAUUCCUGACACAGAAAAGCCCCCCAGCUGUAUUGACUGCAGGAAACCAUUUCCAAUCAAAGUCUGAGUGACCCCACAGAGCCUGACAAAGUGCCUUGUCAAUGGAAUCCCUCUUUGUUUCUUGCAAACAAAGAAGAUCUAUCUUAUGCUUCCCAACCAAAUUCCUGACCCAACCCUCUAAUGUUAUAGGAUAGGAUAUUCAUUUAUGAGGUUUCCUAUUCCCCAACUCCUUAGCUUCUUUUCUGUCUCUACACUCCAUAGAAGCAUAACUGUGAAGGAAAUGUAGGUUAUCUGUAACUGUCUCCAUGCCUAAGUUUUCUCCGAGAUGCCAUAAUUGUUGAGCCUCUUGCAACACCUUAUCACUGCACUCAAUUAUGCUUUUUAACCUCCUUUUUGAGUCCACGUAACUCUGAUUUUUGACCUUAUCCUGAUUGGCAAGUUGAUCUGCUAGAGCCAGGAUGCCAUCUUGAAACUGAGGAUGCUUUUCCUCAAUCUGUGAGAGUCGGGCCUUAAAGAGAGAGUUUUGUUGUCGAAAGUAAACUUUAGAAUACUUGUCUGGAUUCUCUUUUAUGGAUUGGAUUACAGGUAGGGAUUCCUCCUUAUGGCACCCGUCAGUUUUCAAAAUUGGGCCUAAAUCAUUACUUAGCCCACCCUCUUUUUGAUUCUGCACAGCUUGCACCCCCAAAAGCUCAACUGGGUGGAUGUCUUCUUUAUUACACCCUCCUUGAGUCGAAAUUGGGCCCUUAAUGCAACCUGGCCCAAUUCCUUGUUGAAUCUGCCCCGAUAAAGAAGGAGAGAGAGACUGCGUGACAUGUCCCUCUUCUUCCCCGAUAAAGGUCUGGUCAGCAGCUACUUUCGCUCCACCAUUCAAAUACUUUCCCUCUAUGUGAUUCCUGUGCCUUCGAUCAUCAUGUAGGGUAUUAUAGCAGGUUACCUCUUUGGUGUUAGCAGCUUCCUCUUCUGUUCCUGCGAAGCUGUCCCCUAGGUUGAGCUUACCAAAGCUAGAGCCCAGCAUACCUUCUACAGUGCCUUUUGACUUUUCUUUGGGUGUAACGUCUGCCUGGAUAUUACCCAGGGGUCUAAGAUCACAACAGCGCACAUCGGUCCCUCCUUCUGCCCGUUGGGUACGAGACGGAGACAAUUUCUGGUUGGGCAGCUCCGGCGAGAAGGAGAAAUUGGUAUUAGUGUCGUCAAGAACAUCGCCAACCUCCCCUUCGUCGUCUGAUGUUAUCAUCUCCGACCACCCAUCGGACGGCGAGCUUCCUUUCCGGUUCGACCCACCUUCGAACCCUGUCUCUUCCACAAUCCAUACCCGAUACUCAAGCUCCCCCACACGGACGAUGACCUCCGACCUUAUCAACGGCGGAAGCGGUGUCCGCACCAAUACUCGAGCCCGGUCCAAUCGUCGGCGGUCCUCUGUGUCAUCGUCUGACUCGAUGACAUCCCCAAUAGCAGCUACAUCCCUCCUGAGAUUUUUCAUUUCCCACACCUGUAUCAGAAAUCCCCACAGCUGGAGCCAAACAACCCUGUUAUUGGGUCUACAUUUCGGCGUCCACUUCUCCAGUGAGUAAAAGAGAGAAUCAUCGCUUUCCGUCUCUGAUUGAAUGAGGAGUUGAGCUUUGUCAUCGGACAUCCCAGGGAGAAGAACCAUGUCGUCUCCGAGGAACUUAGUGCGGACGUUAUAUCCUAACUCCCAAGUGAUACGAUCCUCUAAGGUUUCCACCUCCAUCACCUUCUUUAGCAUGCCCACCCAGGUUUCGUUACACCAAUAUUCCCCGCCUUCAUCUGGGUUGAUCAGAAUAGUUGGUGUUUGUGCCUCGUCUGUCCUUUUGUCUCCUUGGCACCCCCCCUUAGUCACGUCCACAUAUGAUCUCCGAAGAGCACCAGUAGUUACCCCGCAGGGCUUACUUGCUCCGCACCAAUACUCGAGCCCGGUCCAAUCGUCGGCGGUCCUCUGUAUUCCGAACUGGUCUGUCGAACCUAGGAAGGUUGACAAAUAGUUUACAAUCGUUGAUGAAGAUGUUGUCCAGUCUCACCUCCAAUCCUUUUGCAUCCGAGACUCCCUUGAACCGCAUGAACCUGUAUCUCCUGCCAUGCUUGUUGAGCCUUUUAGCGAUGUAUACUUCACGUACGUCACCCCAGUUUUUGAAGUGCCUCCAUAGCAACUCUUCAUUAGCUUCGUCGGGGAAAUGGGUGAAAUAAAAGGAGGUAAUGUCGGCAUUGUUCCUCCAGUUAAGGCGAUAAUGUUUGUUGUUGUCCCCUAUCUCCAGAUUUUGUGAUUGUCUUCCCGCUAAAGAGGAUUUCUGCAUAACCUUCAUUGAUCUUCUGCUUACCACCUUAGUCCAGUUUUCUUCCUCAGCGUAGUCAUUGUCCCUUCCGAAAAUGUUGACUCGUCGCCCUCCAUAUGGUUCUUCCCUUCAAUCCAUACUCCUCCAUCUCCUUGAAGGGGAACCGUUUGGAGUUCUUCUGUUUGUGCAAGUCCUCGCCGUGUUUCGAUACUGCUUCACACUCGUCCUCGCCGUGUCUGUUUCGCUCCAUCUCUCAUUUCUUCUGUCUCUGUCUGUCACUCUCCUUCUCUCGCGCCCUCUCUCUGUCUCUCUCCCUCUCUCUCUCUCUUUCUCUCUCAUCUUUUUUUGUAAAGUGAUCGUGUAGGUGUGUAGUAUGAUAGAUGCUCUCUCUCUUUCUCUCUCAUCUUUUUUUGUAAAGUGAUCUCCUUGGAAGCUCUAUUUACGUAUCAAGGAGGAAUGUUGAAGUGCUAAUACACAGUUUCAGUCGCAUGUUCUGUUCUAGAUAUUUUGAUAAGGGGUAUGAGCUUAACUGAAAUUAGGAAAAAGAUAUGUAUGAUUAAUUGAACCAGUUGAUGUUUGUAAUAUUUACUGAUAUAGGCAGUUACAGAAGGAGUUUCAGUCCUUAUUUUGGGUAAAUUUGUAUCAAAGUUUGAAUUGACUUUUAGCUGGCUUUGAACUUCCUCAAAGUGUAGUGUACUAGCCUUGGUUUACACCAUAAACUAAGUUCAUAGAUCUAGAGUUUAACUUUAAACCUAAAAAGAAAAAAACCAAGUUAUAGGUAAUGUAAACCAGUCAAAGUUGUAGACUAAAGUUAUGCAAAAUAAACUCUCAAACUUCAAUCAAUAAUAUUGAAAAAUGAAAAGAAGCUCAAAAUAAUUUAAAUAUCAACUUCUUUCCUUUUCUUAAAAUGAAAAGUUUUACCAUCCUACUGGAUAUAGAGCUUGUAAAGCUUUGCUAUGUAUAACAAUCUCACCUCUAUACUGGGAGGAACCAGUGGUCUCUUCCCUUUCAACUCUCUAGUUAAGAAGUCCAGUUUCUUUUCUUCAUCCCAUUCACUGUACGUACCCAUAUCCAAAUACCUUGUAAUUGCAUCAAUGGUUUCAGCAUGUCUGCUUGAUUCCUGUCACACUGCUAGUUUCAGGCCACAACUGAUUAUCCAAACAAUAAUGAACAAAAAACUUUGAAACAUACCUGACGCAAGUCAAGCUUCAUUAACACCAUGCCAAAAGUAGCAACUCUUCGAAUCAGAUCAGCUAGUCGACCAUCAGCUAGCACCCCAGAUCCACAUAAUUGCUGGAGAAAUGUAGAGCUAAAUGAUAAUUCUGCACAAUAUUAGAGGGUAAAAGGGUAGAAAAGAAAGAAUACCAAAGAUUCAUAACAAAGGAGAAGAGGUUCCAAAAGCUGAUAUUUUGUUUCAUAAUAAUCCAUAGGAUCAUGUUUAGAUGGACCAUGUCGAUAAGAAUCUCCAACCGUCUACGAGUUCUCAGAAGCUAAACACAUGGAACGAAAGAUAAUAUUACCGGUUAUUAAGGCAAUAUAUAAAAUCUGCAUAUUCAAUAAAAAUGUAGAUGUGAUUUAGUUUUAAUGGCACCCCAGGAUACAAAUCCUCCACAGACAAUAUUCAAAUCAAAACUAGGAAAAUAUAUUUUUCAUACUAUGCAUAUCCUAACGUAUAUAUGGUUCUAUCUAUAUAAUCAUCUUCACUGUGAAAGCCGUGGAACAAAGCAAAUAGGAUUGAUCUCAAGAUUAGUACAUUUAACAGUCUUUGACCAAAAAGCAAUAUGAUUUCAUCAUAUCCAGGAACGUUCCUAAUAAUGCAUAUAAAUUAAUGAUCCAUGUGUCUGCUAUCUGUCAUUCUACACAAAGACAUUUUGCAAUUGAAUUUCAAAUCCGUAGUGCCAAGGCUCAAGUUCAAAAGUCCUUCACUCUUUAUCUACAAAUAAUACAGAAAAUAUCAAUAUAUGCUGAAAUCAAUCUCAUAGAGCUUUAUUUGCCACAACGUUUUCUACAAUAAUAUCAAUCCUUAGUGGUUCUGCUGACUUAAUUUCAUAACCACGUCUUUCUCCCUAAAGGAAAAAUCAAGCCAACAACAUAAAUAAAGAUAAGAUAAAAAAAAAUAUGGUUUUCGAUUGUCCAUUUAUGGGAAAAUAUUUUGGACUCCCAAUAUUUCCAAAUUAUUUGCCGUGGAACUUCACUUCUAAACCAAAAUGUAGUUUCUACCAACCCAAACAAACAAACAAAAAGUUAUGCAAUAUCAUUUAUUUCAUUUGCAAACUACAGUCUACACGGGCACAUUUUGUACAUGCCUGCCAGGUUAUAAAGCUAAAAACUCCUAAGACAUAAGCAGCAUAGUUUUGUACAAAAUAAAACAGCAGAAACUGAAUACAUGUGUCCAUGCAACCAAUUUUGAAGCAUUGUUGAAGUAAACCAGAAGUAAUACCUUAACUUUUAUAUAUUCAAGGACAACUCUAUAAGGAGCAAUUCCAGGAACCUGAGUUUGGCUCCAAAAGCCUCUGAAAACUGGUCCUUCCUAUUUGGGAUUCUGCAAACAGUUUCCUCUGAGCAACAAGUUGACUAGAGUUGAAAGAAGGAGAGUAUGUCAUUGAAACUAAUGAAGAACUGGAAUUUGGUAAAAUUGGUAUUGACAAACGGACAUUUUGACUGCCACCAUUGCUCUCGGUUGAACUUGAAGUCUCACCACCCUAUCAGUGAAUAUAUGUACACAUGUAUUAUCUAGGAUUCAAUGGCAAAUUAGGAAAUCUACUGAAUUGAUCUACCUUGUGAUUGGGUUGCUUGUGAUCAGCUCCUGGCAUGUGUCUGGGAUACUCAGAUCCACCCUCUUCUACAUGAAAUGUAACAUUCAAACCAGAACUUCAUACUAAUAGAUAAUAAGUUAAUAACAUACUUGAUUGGGUCAAGAAUUUAUAUAUGUCGGCAUAUGAAUAAAAUUGCACUAUAUUCCUCAUGCAUGAUAGCAUGAGAAGUUAUUCAAAGGAUUGGAAGGAUUCCAAUUCAUUUGUUCAUGCAAUCAGCAAUGGGCAUCAUUCCUUAAUUAAAAAUUGUUAAAGAUUAUUAAAGUUAGAAGCCACUCAACAAGUAAAUAUUUUUUUGCAGUUACAGAAGAAAAGAACAUGCCAGUUAAAAACAGGAUAUGCAAACAAAAAACCAGACAGCAAUUUUUUGAAAAAUUAUACGUACCAGGCCAAGCACAAGAGGGUAUAUGAGCUCCAGCUGGAAGUUUAGUCGGAAGUGGUGAAGCUUGUUGAUUAGGAUGUUUUGACUGACUUCUACUCAUAGAUCCAUUCCAGUGCUCAUGGUGAUCCUCCUCAUCAUUACCUUCUGAAGAGAAAGAAGUGAUCAUCAAGUCUUAAAAGUGGAUUGAAAGAGUAUCAAAGAUAUCUUUGAGGAUAUAACAGUGACAAGGCGUAGUCUAGAAGAACAAAUCAUAUAGAAAAAUCUUCAGCUAAUCAUGUAAAGACAUUGUGAGUGCAUUAAUAGAACAAUAAAUGGAUGACCAUUUCACUUGCAGUGUAUCAUCAAAUACUAUAGUGUAUCUAUAUUAGUCUAACUCACACCAAGGUUUAAAAUACUUUGUAGUAUCUACAAACUAUUUUCAUGCCGGAAGAAAACUUUCCAUUUGAAAAAGCAGAUUUUGUUGCCUCAUCAUAUGAAACCUUUUGCAAAAACAUUCCGAGGAAACAUAUAAAAAAGACCUCAAAGCUUUUACCACACGUAUGCAACUAUUGUCAAUCUCAUAUCAUUCAAUUGGAAAAGAUUUGACAAAGUGGAUUGGAGGUAAAAGUUGACAGGUUGAUGUCUACGGAAACAAGAGAAAAGUAAAAGAGCAAAACACAGGCGUAUUUUGAUAAGUUUGAGUUAUUAGUAAGGCCACAAAAGAGAUACGUCAGGAUAAUUUUUAAAGGAAUUUCCAAGCCAAGAGGACAAUGCCUUGAUGCACCAAAGAAGUAAUGCAUAAAAGAAGACCAAAGAGGGAUUAAAUGAAUGACCAAAGCCUCAAGGAUAAAUAGAUAGAGCAUAAUAUCAUCAUUCAAAAUAUUACACGGUAAUAUUAAGGGUUUCAAAAGGACCAUCAAAUUCACAUGAUAAUCUAACACAAUAAAGAAAAAAAAUAAAAAACUAUACUAUCUUUAAGUGGUUCAAUUUGCCUGUGCACAUGAACUAGUGUUACUUCUUGACAAACAGUAUCCAGAGGUCACAUGAUAUAAAACAAAGAUGACUGCUAUGCCCAUUAGCAUUUGGAAGAUAUCAACAAAUAUAAAACUAAACAGACAAACCUUUUAGAAUUUCAUGUGCCAGUUCUGACAACUUAUCACUGCACUGGUUCAUGGAUAGCUCAAAUCUUAGGCCAUCCACUUCCCGAAUGUAGAGGUCAAUCGCCAUCCAUCUUGACAGAAGUGAAACAUCUUUUGUGACCUGAAGAACAAAACGAAAACCAAUUACACAAUCAGAUUUGAAUAACAGGGUCAAAUCAAACGCAAAUAUUCUUCAAGAAAAUCCCACUCCUAGGUAAGAAAAAAAAUUUCUUGUAAUUUAUUCGUAAUGUUUGAAUUACACGCUACAAACUUUAGUAAUUGAAACAGCAAAGCACAUCCUUCAACUGUAGUAACAUCAACACCGACCACAAUCAAGCUUUAUCCCACACCUGAUGGAGUCAAACACGGAUCAGUUAAUAUCAGAAACCAAUUUUUCUUUAAAAGCCAUUUUUCUGUCCAUAUCUAAAGAACAAUAACAACAAUAGUGAUGUUAGCUACAUGGAUCACACAAUGUUACUGGGUUCAGUUAAAAACCAAAUUCUCAGGCUAUUCAUGUCUAAAAUACAUUCAAUGUAAUUUUACAUUGGCUAUCAACUGCCCAAAAUUACCCACCUCUUUUAUCCUAGCCUGAGACAAUAUAAAAUUUGACUAAAAAGUACAAUAUUGGAAAAGUUCCAAGAAUAUUAUUCAAACAAAUAUUUUGCAUGUUAAAAGCUCAUUUAUUUUUGUCUGCAGUUUUCCCAGUUCAAUCAUCAUUAAACUUGCACUUUCCAAAAUGACAGGCAGUAAUACUGGACAUCUUCAGGUUGUCAAUAAUAUAAUGAUAUUACAGAUUCAACUAUGCUUCCACUACUAGAAAACUUCUCACGUGUUGAAAAAGAAUCAUGUAGUUAUUUGAGAAAAUGAAAUCACAUAGUAAAAGUACAGGCAGCAUGAAUGGAUAUUUGAAGAUGCUACCUUUGCUGUCACAUUUGGGUUUCCGUCUCUAUCACCUCCCAUCCAAGAUCCAAAUUUUAUUGGAGUGCAAGUCAAUGGAAGUGGUUUUCCUGUGUGCUGCAAGGAAAGAUAAAUUGCACUGAAAAUCUUAAAGAGAAAGAAUGUACAAGUUAAUUGACAUAAAUUAAAGAUGACAAACCUUCUUUAAAGCGCUGCUAACUCGACGUAAAUAAUGAGGAACAGCUUUUCAGAGUGACUCCUCCACAAUAUUCAAUACUGGGAGAAUUGAAAAAUAAAUAAACCAAGGGAUUCUUCCACUUCUUUUUUUUUUAACAGUGAAUCAAAUCAUGCAAGAGAUGACAUAUUGUUAGAUCUCAAUAUAGACCAGUUAUCUGGAGGGUCUAUUCUAGAAGGAAGAAAGCCCCUACACGGGAGAUAGGAUCGAAUUAGUUAUUAGUUUAACCCCUACACGGGAGAUAGGAUCGAAUUAGUUAUUAGUUUAAUCUUUAGGGCCAUCUAUCUUUAUUAUUCUAUCUUUAUCUUUAUUAUUCUAUCUUUAUCAAUUAGUUGGAUUAGGAUAUUAUAAAUAAGAGUAUUCUCAUUAGAGGAGGGGGUAGAGAAGAAUUAGAAAUUGUAAAGGGUUUUCCCUUGGAAGAAGGUUUUAGAAAUUGUAAAGGGUUUUCCCUUGGAAGAAGGUUUCCUUCUUGAAUAAAUUCAGUUUGCUCCCAGUAUUUUCCGUAUAUUCUUCUAUUUUCUGUUUCUCUUGUUUUCUCUGCUGUUAGGGAUAUUCAAUACCCUAACACAUAUAAAUUGUCAAGGAUUCUCUCUUAAAAGAUUGAUUUAUUAUGUGUUCAUGUAGGUGCCUUUGGGGAUAACAAGGACAAAACUCUUGAACACUUGGUCAAAAUGGCCAUAGACCAUUCUUAGGAACAACUAAAAAGCCUAAAGCUAAGAGGUAAAGUAUAUCUAACAUAUAAUACUCAACCAGCUUACCUGCCCUAGCUUCAUCAACUGGAGUGGGUUUUGAACGCCUAAGUUCAUCUGUCUGCCAUAUUGAAGUUUUCUCUCCCACCUAAAAAAGCCAAUAUGAUUGAUGAGAAUAGAAAUAAAGUGUGUUAGAAAAAGGAAAUCCACUAUCCAUUCACAUUUAAAGAUAAUCUACCACACUGAAAAACUAGUGGAUUUUUUACUUUUGGGGUACAAACACCGGUGGUUAAGUAGAAUGGAAAUAGUUCAAGAAUGGUACCAGAUCUUCAAUCCACAUAUCUCGAUCUUCAGGGCUAAGAUCAGGUCAAUCAUUAUAAUCCAAAAGAUGCUGCUUGAAGGUGAAAAAGUAGUUAGAGACAACACACUUCCAUAAUAUUUGAGAGAUGAUAUCAUAAAGUUAAAGGCUCAAGCCUCCAGUAAUUUAAUAUAUUCAGAAAAGAGAACAACUCACAGCAAUUUUAAGGUGUUUAUAUUGCAAGGUACGAUGGUUAAUUUGAGUGGGAUGAGCAGUGAGAACAAUUUCAACCUCCUGUGGCAACAAAUGAAAUUAGAUUUUGAAUGACAAUAGCAAUUGGAACCAGAUUCUGUUAAAAUCCCUGGCAAUACACACAUAAUGUUUCACUAAAUUAAUAACAAGAUAAUUGUCAAGAAAGAAAAUAAUUACAUGCUUUAAUCUCAGCUUGCAGAGUGCAUAGACAACGAAAGAUCAUAUACUUAUUUUCAGAAAUGAGGAACAAAACCACAGACCUGCUUGAACACUGUCUUAUAAAGCUCAACUGGAGAAACCCCAUCUUGCAACAGGUUGUUAAAGAUAUCAUCACAAGAUUUUGCAGCAAGAACCAUAUUUCCUUUUGCAGCAAGAACCAUAUUUCCUCCUUUACGAACCCUGCAAAAACAUAACUUGUUCAAGACUAUCAUAUUCCCUCAAUGUUGUUAUUAGUCAAAGGUUCGGCUUAUUUUGGAGAGAUUGCGGCUUAAUUUUGCACAGAGCUCAGCCAAAUAAAGACAAGACAAAUUAUCAACUAAUGGAAUAAAAAGACAACAAUAGUUGGAGACAAGAAUGUAUACCUAUGGUGGGUUUCAGCUAUACCCAUCAAAGUAAGAUGAUGGCUAAAGGCACGAGCAAGGGGCAAAGCUUCUUCCAGCGUCAUCUUGGAUAACUCUGAAGCCAAUUGCUUCUCUAGCAUCUCAGCCAAGUCCUCCAUUCCCGCUUGUCUCAUAUUACAAGCACUCUAAAUACCAAAACAAACUCUUAAGGAAUUUUCAACUCCCAGCGAUAAAGAUUGUUACACUGUUAACCAAUUACCAACGAAAUCACACAUGAAUAAAGGUCAAUUUUUCAAUUAUAUGGCAAUUCAUGAUUGGAUGACACGCUACAUUUCUAGUUAGCACUGUUGCUUGUUAGGAAAAAAAAGAGUAAACCACCAUUUGAGUCUGUUACAUUAGUUCUUACAUAUAGUCCCUAGCUAAAAGCUAAAACUAAGGAAAUUUUAAAUAAGUUCCUGAAAAUACAAUCUGUCUAUCACAUUAGUCCAAAAAUAUAAGAAAAUUGUGAAUUAAUGAUAAUAUUAAUAAAUGUUUAGGGGCCAAAAUGGCAAUAAGUAGUUAUGUUUAAGGACUUAAUGAAUUCUAGAGACUUAUUAGAAAUUUCUUUAAUUUCAAGGAUGAAUUUAUGUGACAAUGCAUUACACUUUCACGAACCAAAAUGAUGAUUCACUAAAGGCAAAAACUGUAACUGAUACAAAGCAAUUGAAUUUCCAAACUGAACAAGGAAUAUUGAAGAUUCCAUUCGUAACAUGAGGAACCCAAAAACUAACUAAAAAAGCAAUUAAAUUUCCAGCAUAAGAGGUUUAGCUCAGUCAUUAUUUGAGUCUUUGCAUAAAACAAGAACCCCACAUGCAUGCGCAUUACGCAUGUCAUGUUUCAACCUUCGCCCAUUUCCUCCACAACCGAACAAAACCAAAGACUAAUUGAUAAAACAGUGAUGAAAUCACAACGACAAGAACAAAGAUAACAAGAAAAAAGAAAUUAGAACCCCAUCACCGAAAAUUCACAAAAUCAAGUUAAAAUCAUUAACAGCAUACUCCAAUCAUUCUAGGAAAAGGUAAAGAAGCAAAACCCAUUAAAGAAAACACCAAAAAAAAAAGUGGGGUAUUGAUUAAAAACCCAAAAACAAUUAUUUUAAGUGAAAAGAAAAAAGAAAAGAAAAAAUGAGAACCUGUGAAAGGACUCGAAUUUUUUCGAGCUUGUCAACGAAGGUGGAGCCAGCCUCCCUCUGGAGAAUGUCGUUGAGAAGGUUCCCUAGCAAUUUACAGUCAUCUUCGAAGCCCUGGAAGGAGAUUUCCUCCGUCAGUGAUGUCCGUUAUUGUAAUGUUCCCACACACACAACAAAAAACUUAACACACACAAAAAAAAACGAAUACAGAAGAAGAAGAAAGAGAGUGAGAGAGAGGGUUAAUAUGUGUGUGGUUGAAGGAGUGAGUAGAGGAGAAAGUGGUGGCAUAUAAUAAGGUGGCAAACAAUAACUAACUGGCGCGGAGGAAGGGACCGUUGUGAAAUUGUGACGUUUUACUUCCAUCCACUUUAUAGAUUAAUACAUAAAUUAACAAUUCUUUUCUCCAAUGUUUUAGGAUCAUAUUAUUAUUAUAAUAUUAAUUUAAACUAAGGAUUAAGUCUAUACUUUUAAUAAUAUUAAUUUAAACUAAGGAUUAAGUCUAUACUUUAAUAUGCUUAAAAUUCGAAUGCAUAAAAAAUAUUCAUUUAUGGUGUAACUUAGUCAAUUGAGCACUGAAUUGUUAUAAACUUAUUUGACGAGUUUGAUUUUUAUGAAUUAAAAAAAUUUAUAUAUUAAUCAUAGUAUGCUAGACUCAUAGAAAAGUGCAUUUGCUUUUAUCAUAGAAAUAUUGGAGUAUUUAAUAAUAAUAAUAAUAAUAUAACUCUAAUUAUAUAUUAAUUAAAAUAUCUAGGUAUAUUAUUGGUGUAUUUUAAGUGUCUUAAUAAAUUAUAUUAUUGGUUUAUUUUAAGAUAAUAUCUAGGUAUAAUUUGUUAACGUACUCAUAUUAAAAAAAACAAGUAUAUAUACAUUAGUGAACUGGAAUAUAUUUUAAAAAAAUUCAAAAUGUUAUUUUUUUGUCAAAAUUUAAGCUUGAACAUCUGAACCUAAGUGGCAUUUUUUAGUUAAAUUUUAAAUGUAAUUUUUGGUGAUUAAAAACAAUCAUAAAUUACAAAAUAAAAAUUAAAAGAUCAAAUCACAAUUUGUGGCUGUACAACAACCACCACACACGUCCAAGGCAAGAGAUUCAGAUUGAGGGCCCAAUUGGUGGCUAGAACAACGGUGUUGCUGGCAAAGUUCAAUGUAAUCACUGACAACACCAUCAUAGUCACCCAACGCAUCAUCAAGAAGCUUCCAAUAGGGACAAACUUCAGGCUCACAAAUUGCAAGUCCACCCCCGCAAAGCCUCCACCCUACACUCUCACAGAUCUGGUUGUCGAUGUAGAGGCAUCCAUCGGAGGAAGAGGCAGUGGUGCACAGUGUCAGGGUUGAGCCAACAGAGGAGGUGGAAGGGCCGACUUGAUGAGGAGGAAGUCAUCGUCGGAGUCCUAGAUUUGGAGGGAGAGAGAAAGAGGGGAAGGCGAACCACUUGUCAUCGAGGUUGUCAUGGAGGUGAGAGGAGGAGGGACAAGGGCAAUAAGGCUUCGGAGUAGAAACAAAGAGGACGAAGGGUAGAGAAAGAGAAGGAAGAGAGGCUAGGAUCGUUGGAUUAGAGAGAGAGAGAAAGAGAAAGGGAAAGAAAAAGAAAAAGUAGGAUAGUGCCUAAUUUUUAGUGGACACACAUGAGAAACUUAGGUUCGGAUUCGUCCAAACCUAACUUCGGGCCAAAAAAUAACACAUUUCUAUUUUGUGAGAACGAAAAACAUACAAAAUUUUUUACAGAGAUAUAUUCCAAACAUUUUGACAUUUAUAAGAACAACAAAUAUAUUUUAGUCUUAUUUUUAUUGUUAAAAAAUGAGUAAUGCUACUAACAUACUCUUUAACACACUCCUUCAUACACACUUUUCUCCAAUGUGUUAAAAUGUAUUGAAAACUGCAAAAUCAAGAGAGAGAAAGUCAUUGAAUACUAUGUGGGACUCACUGAAUUUUGUGAUUUCAAAUAAAUUUCAACAAAUGAGAGAAUGUGUGUUCAAAAGAAUGUGUGACCCUAACAUUUCUCGUUAAAAAAUAUAGUAGUUUACAUAUAUAAUUGUCCUUUAGUUUAUGUUAAUCUAAAUUAAGAGUGAUUUUUUUGUUCAAAUGAAAGGAUACUAGAUGCUAAUAUAGACCUUCUAAUUUUUAAGUGGGUCUAUGUUAACAUUCCCCAUUUAUAGAUAGAUAUAUGAGGAAUGUAUCUUAUAUGAGGGUUAGAAGAUUAAAUUUGGACUGUCUAAUCAAACAUGAAUGAUCAAGAUUUAAUGUCAUGUGACCAAUUAACCACUUAAAAAUUCAUGUUAUUUUUUUAAUAAAUCAUGUGAAUUUUUUAGAUUAAACCUUAAUACUCCACAUAUAAGAUGUAACCACUUAAAAAUUCAUGUUAUUUUUUUAAUAAAUCAUGUGAAUUUUUUAGAUUAAACCUUAAUACUCCACAUAUAAGAUGUUUCCUCUUAUUGGUAUUGUUGUAAACUCAACGAUGGUUUUUGAUAAAACCGUUGUGCUUAGCUUUAAACCAAAGAUUGUUUUGCAAAAACCGGUGUGUUAAGCUUCAAAUCAAAGAAGAUUCUAUAAAAAUCAUCUUGAGCACCUUCUUUUAAAGACGGUUUUUCAAAUUAAAAAAUAUUAGUCAAUUAUUGUUUCAUAAAAUAAAAUAGUAAACAAAAUGAAAAAUUAUUUAAAACGAAUUUUUGUAACCAUUUUUCUGGCAAUUUGAUUUGUUUUGAACCGACUUGACUUGUUCAUCAUCAAUUUCUUUUUUUUUUCUUCUUCUUGGGUUUUCUUGACCAAUGACAUGGACAAUUCUAGUGUUUUCCAAAAAAUAAAAUUAUGAUUUUCAUCAGUUUUCAAUUAAAUUGACUAAUAUUUUUUUAUUUUUUCCUAUAUAUUAAUCAGAAUAUGCUAGACUCAUAGAAAAUUCAUAUUUUAUAAGAAAGGUAACUUUUUAAUUGUCAAAGUGCAUUUGCUUUUAUCAUAGAAAUAUUGGAGUAUUUGGUAAUAAUAAUAAUAAUAAUAAUAAUAAUAAUAAUAUAACUCUAAUUAUAUAUUAAUUAAAAUAUCUAGGUAUAUUAUUGGUGUAUUUUAAGACAAUAUCUAGGUAUAACUUGCUAACGUAUUCAUAUUAAAAAAAAACAAGUAUAUAUACAUUAGUAAACUGGUAUAUAUAUUAAAAAAAUUCAAAUAUGUUAUUUUUUUGUCAAGAGUUAAGCUUGAAUGCAUUUGAACCUAAGUGACAUCUUUUAGUUAAAUUUUAAAUGUAAUUUUUUCAGAUUGAGGGCCCAAUUGGUGGCUAGAACCACGGUGUUGCUAGCAGAGUUCUAUGUCAUCACUGACAACACCAUCAUCGUCACCCAACGCAUCAUCAAGAAGCUUCCAAUAGAGGCCAACUUCAGGCUCACAAAUUGCAAGUCCACCCUCGCAAAGCCUCCACCCUACACCCUCGCAAAUCUGGUUGUCGAUGUAGAGGCAUCCAUCGGAGGAAGAGACAGUGGUGCACAGUGUCAGGGUUGAGCCAAUAGAGGAGGUGGAAGGACCGACUUGAUGAGGAGGAAGUCAUUGUCGGAGUCCUAGAUUUGGAGGGACAGAGAAAGAGGGGAAGGCGAACAACUUGUCAUCGAGGUUGUCAUGGAGGUGAGAGGAGGAAGGGCAAGGGCAAGAAGGGUUCCGAGUAGAAAUAGAGACGGCAAAGGGUAGAGAAAGAGAAGGAAGAGAGGCUAGGAUCGUUGGAUUAGAGAGAGAGAGAGAGAAAGGGAAAGAAAAAGUAGGAUAGUGUCUGGUUUUUAGUGGACACACAUCAGAAACUUAGGUUCGGAUUCGUCCAAGCUUAGCUUCGAACCAAAAAAACAACACAUUUCUAUUUUGUGAGGAUGAAAAACAUACUGAAAAUUUUGCAAGGAUAAAUUCCAAACAUUUUGAUAUUUAUAAGAACAAAAAAUAUAUUUUAGCCUUGUUUUUAUUGUUAAAAAAAAAAAAGAGAAAUGCUACUAACAUACUCUUUAACACACUCCUUCAUACACAGUUUCUCUUAUGUGUUAAAAUGUAUUUAGUUGAAGAACAAGUUCCACAAAAUCUUGAACCUACCAAGUGUGAUGGUUGGGAUUGGUAUGAGUGGGAUCAUUUGCCACACCCUUUGGUUGGGCCUCUUGAGAAAAUGGUCAAAGGAGCUUUCGACCCAUUUCCAAUUUGAUUCUGGUAAUUGGUAAUGAUUUUUUUGUGAGGAUUCUUGGAUAAUCGUACGUUUGGGUUAGGUUUAAUAUGUUUUUGUAUGGAAUUUUUGUUUAGUCUAACUUAUUGUGAUGAAAACAAUUAUGGUUUGAAUCGGCAUUCAGGAUGCACAUGAACUUGCAAAAUGUCUAAUUCGGAAGCAAUAUUGAUAUUGUUUGAAUUACAUUCCAUUUAUUCAAACUUAUUUAUUAAAAAUAUUUUUUAAAUAAAAUAAAUAGAUUUUUUAUAUUUUGAGAUGUUUUAAACUGCUUUUGGUUUAAAAAAUAAUAAUUUUCUACUUAUUUUUUAGAAGUUAACUUUAUAUGUUUCUUAAAAAAACACUUAUUUCACAUUUUUUUAAAGUUUAAACAAACUGAUCCUUAGUUAAAUAAUAAAACAAUCAAUUAUUUUAUGUUACAAAUUAAUGUAAAAAUAAAAAAUAAUUAAUAAUUCAAUUUUUUUUAAUAUAAAAAUUUAAAUAACAUUGAAGUCUAACUUUUGACAAAGAAAGAAUAUAAUAAAAAAAUUAAAUUAAGAGGAGAAAUUCAUUUCAUUAUACAUAACUAUAUUAUUUGAUGAAUAUUUUUUAAUUUUUUAUUAUUGUAAUUAAGUUGUUUUUAUUAUACAUAUAAACUGCAGGAUUUUGGUGUUAUAUAUUUAUAUAUAUAUAUAUAUAUAUCAAGUGUUAGAUCAAAAAGUUCCAACACUAUAUUCAUGAACAUCAAACCCGUUAUCUUCAAAAUAUCAUGUGUCCAAUCAUUUCGUCUAAAUGGAUGGACAAAAUCUAGUAUUGUUUUCUUCUAAAGUCAAUUCAUUAGAAGACAUUGUGGACAUUUUUUUGGUACAUUUAAGAUCAUGGUCAUAGUUAAAAAAAACAUGAUUAAAUCAUUUUUUUCUACUGGCAUUCCAAUCUAGGAGCUUGUUUCGAAUUUAAAAUGGGAGAAAACCAUGGCUUGAGACUUGGGAGCUUGAGGAACGAGAGUAAAAUUGAAAGGAAAUCUUAAUAUAUAUUUAUACAAAUCAAGUUAAGUCUUCAGCCAAUGUUUCUCGCCCAAACAUAAAAAAGGCUUUAUGUAUUUUUUUUUCCAAUUUGUUAUUGGAAUUUUGGCAAGAGUAUUAAAUCCCUGAGGUAACAAUAGCGAUAAGUAGAGUCGUCUCUACAAGAACUUGUGCAAUAAUUAGGUUAUUUAAUAAUAAAUUUAAUAGACUAUGAAUUUCAAUGUGAUUAAGUGAUCAAAAGUAAAGUCUUAAAAAAAGUAACUAUAAAUAGAAAUAUCAUAAGAAAAUGGUUAAAUUGUAAUUUUAGAAUUUUCUUAAGUCUUUUUUUUGAAAACUAAAGUUAUCAUUUGAAGUAUAACUUGAUUAAAAGAGAUAAAAAAAUUUCACAAAAACAAGUUUAAACGAUGGAAACAUAUUUUAAAAAAUAGAAUAUGUUUUUCAAACAAGAUCAAAUUCAAACACAUCUUUUGAUGUUGUUUGAAAAAUUUUAGAACUUGAACUUCAUUUAUUCUUCAUAGGAUUCGACAAAUCCUAAAAGAAUGUCUUGUGAGACAAUUUCUGCGAAACGAAUCUCAGACACAAAGUACUAAAUGAAAUCUUAAAUAUCAUCUUUAAUGUUGUAUCAGAUCAUGACUUACUUAUACUUCCGUCUGAAAUAUCAAACAGAAGAUCAUGAAGCAUAAUCUGAUAUCACAUAAGACAAAACUUUUAACCUUUGUAUUUAUUUGCAUCUAAUCAAAAUAAUUAAGGGUCUUGAUUCGUCUUAAAAUAUAUUUUGACUUAACAAUAACAAAAAGUAAAGAUAAUUGCAUAAGAGUAAAGAGUUAAAAAGGAAGAAAGUUAGGAAUAGGAAAAAUUGUCAAGGGUAAACCUUGCGUACCUUGAGUUCCUAUGAAGAUGGAACUUAGUAAUGGAAAGGGCCCAUCAAGGGUGAAUCUUGGGUUUGUCGAGCCUUGGACCAAGGACGUGUUUGCCCUGGGUUUUGUACUUCCAUGGAGUUGUGUCGAGGCUUACCAAGGACGGGCCUUGGAUUUUGUAAACCCUUAUGGAUCAGCAAGCGCGAAGGUUGGGUUUGAUGAGUCUUGCGUGCAGUGCAAGUAUUGUGCUCUUACAUACACGCCUCUUACAAAGUGGCAGGUACUGGAGACACGGUGGUGUCUAUCAGUGGGACUCACCAAAGGAGGACCUUGGGUUUCGCGAGCCCUUUGGAGGAUUGACCAGGGAAUUUUCCGACUUGGGUUUUGAGCACCGUACUCUUGCAUACAUUGCAUACAUAUCACUCGCCAUGGGUGGUAUGCACUGAAGACGUAGUGAUAUGUUUCUGCAUAUAUGUCACUUGCCAUGAGUGGCACACACUAGAGUCUUGGUAGGGUGCUUGUGGGCAUAUGUCACUCACCGUGGGUGACAUGUACUGGAGUCACAGUGAUGCGCUCUUACAUGUAUGUCACUCGCUGUGGGUGGCACAUACUGGAGUCGCGAUGAAAAUAUGCUCUUGCAUGUAUGCCACUCGUCAUCGGUGACACACACUGGAUACUUAGUAGUAUGCUCUUGCAUAUAUGCCUCUUACGAAGUGGCGCGUACUGGAGACUUAAUAACGUGUUGUUACGUGCAUGUCACUCGUCGUAGGAGGCAUGCACUAGAGGCUUAGUAGAAUGCUCGUGCGCACAUGUCGUGGGUGGAACAUACUAGAGGCUUAACUAAAUUCUCGUGCAUAUAUGUCACUCGUCGUGGGUGACAUAUACUGGAGUUGUGAUGCUUAGAAGGAGGGCUUCCCAAGGACGGACCUUGGGUUUUAAGAGCCUUGUAGGUACGACUAUGGAUGUUCUUGUCUUGAUAAGAGACAUGUCAAAAGGAAGUGAUGCAAAAUUUUAUUCAAUGUAUUUAAUUAAGUACAAAUCCCCUUCAUUACCCCAGAUGUGCCACGUUAAAAACCCUUCAAACCAAAACCCUUGAUUUUUCUACUUUUGGGACAUAAGACUUGAUUAGGGAAAAGACUACAACAUUAGGUUUAAAGUGUAGGUCAGCUAAAGUAGAACUUCAGGUGGGUGGCAUUCAACGUUCGUGGAAUUACUUUGCCAUCUAGCUCUUGUAGGCAGUACGCUCCAUUGUCAUGGUUGGUUGUGACCCUAAAGGGACCUUCUCAGUUGGGGCUAAGCUUUCCCGCUCUAGGAUCUUUUUUGGCUUCCUCUCGGACUCGCCAUACGAGGUCGCCAGGUUGAAAGGCUCAUGAUUGAACCUUUAUAUUGUAUCUUUUGGUUGGCAACUUCUUCUCUAAUCCUUGUCAUUUCUUGGACUUUAUCAAUGAUUUCAAGUUCCACCCUCAUAUUUUCUUCAUUUUGUUGUUGCUGAAAUAAUAGUCUCUUUGUCGAUGAUUCCCCACCUUCUAUGGGGAUCAUGGUGUUUGUGCCAUAUGUAAGUUGGUAAUGAGUUUCAUUGGUGGUUUUUUAGGGUGUACAAUGGUACGCCUAGAGUAUGUUGUAGAGUUCUUCUUUCCAUAGGCCUUUAGACUUGUCAAGUCUAGUACGCAGGGCCCUGAGAAUGACUCGAUUAGUUGCCUCUGCAUGUCCGUUAGUCUAAGGAUGUUCAACAGAGGUGACAAGGUGCUUGAUCCCUAUCCUUGUCAAGAAGUCUUCGUAAGUCUGAGCUUUGAAUUGAGUGUCGUUGUCGGUGACGAUAGCAUAUGGGAGGUCGUACUUGGAGAUAAGGUAUCUCUAGGUGAACUUUUCCACCUCGCUGGCCAUAAUUUCCUGAAGUGGUCUUGCUUCUAUCCACUUGGUGAAGUAUUUAAUAAUGACAAGUAAGUAUUUCACAGCUCCUAGGGCCUUUGGUAGCAGUCCCAGUAUGUCCAUUCCCCACAUGGCGAAAGGGCAAGCGCCACAUGGCGAAGGACCAAGGGGAGCUUAGACUGUGAAGGUUGUUAGGAGAAAUGCAUGGAACGUCUGCAAACUCUUGACAUCUUCGACAUCUCUUGGUAAAGUUGAGGGUGUUGGCUAGUAGUAGCCCGCUCGCACCGCUUUAGUGGCCAGGGAGCGUCCUUUGGUAUGGAGACCGCAAAUCCAUUCGUGAAGUGCUCUCAUGAUGUAGUCUGUCUGUUGACUAUUUAGGCACUUGAGUAAGAGUGUUGUCAACCCUCUUUUGAAUAGCUUGUCAUCAAGGAUGGCAUAGUAGUUGGCCUUACAUUUGAGGUGUUGGGCUUCGUCCUCAUUUGGCGAUAGGACCCCCCAAAUUAGGAAGUUCUUGUAGGAGAUCAUCUAGUUUGGUUACUUCUCUUCUCCUGCCAUAAUUUCCUCAGCAUCUAUGGUUGGAGUUUAAAGUGUCUCCUAGAUGAUUGUCUUGAGGUGCCAACACCUUCUUAAUGCUAGCUAGCUUAGAGAGGAGGUCCACUCAAAUGUUGCUUUCCCUGGGGAUGUAAUACAUUUAGAAACACCCAAAAUUGUUGAUGAGAGACUUCGCUAUGUGAUAGUACUUGAGUAGUACUGUUUCCUUGGUCCGGUAUAUGUUGGCAACCUGUCCUUGGACAAGUUAUGAGUCUAUGUAGCUUCGUAGCCACUUGGCUUCAACUUUUCUUGCUAACUUUAGACCUGCAAUGAGUGCUUCGUGGUUUGCCUGGUUGUUUGAGGCUCUGAAGUUGAGCUUGAGGGCUUGCUCUAGAGUGAUAUUGUCAAGGCCUUCGAGGAUAGUCCCUACCCCGCUUCCUUUUACGUUGGACACACCGUCAACAAAAAGGAUCCACCAGUCUAGGGUGGUUUGUUGUUUCCGACGAAUUCUACCAAAAAUUCAGUCAUGAAUUGCGUCUUCAUGGGGUCGCGUGGUUCGUACUGGAUGUCAAACUCUGAAAGUUCGAUGGAGUAGGCCACCAUCUUUCUUACGAGUUCAGGAUUUCUCAAAAACCUGCUUGAUGGGGUAGUUCGUCUUGACUAGCACUUGAUGACUCGGGAAGUAAGGCUUGAGUCGUUGGGCCAAGGGAAUGAGUGUUAGCGCAACCUUUUCAAUCAUUUUGUAGCGUUUCUCGGUGUCAUGGAGCAUAUGACUGGAGAAGUAGAUAGGGAGUUAGUUCUUCCUUUCCUCUUGUACAGGGGCUGAGCUGAUAACUUCGUCAAUUACUGAGAGAUACAAGAGCAAGGGUGCUCUUGGCCUUGAUCGACUCAAAGAUGGUAGUGUGGUUAUGGUCUUCUUGAAAGCUAGAAAGGCUUGUUCACAAGUCUCGUUCCAUUAAAAAGGCUUAAUUUUCUUGAGCAGUUUGUAAAAUGGUUUCGCCUUUUCGGUGAGCUUUGGGAAGAACCUGGACAGGGAUGCUAGCCUACGUUGAGCUUCUGAACUUCUUGUAUGUUGGUUGGGCUAUGCAUCACCCGUAUGACAGUGCAUUUGUCGGGGUUAGCUUCAAUCCCCUGGUGGGUGAUCAUAAAACCAAGGAACUUGUCGCCGCCUACUCCGAAAGUACAUAUUUUAGGGUUAAGGCGCAUUCAUAUUUUCGUAGUUCCCCGAAGACUUCUUCCUUGUCCGCCACAUGUUGGGAUAUGCUUUGAGACUUGAAAACUAUGUCGUCCACAUAUACCUCGACAUUUUCAUAUGAUUUGUUGUUUGAAGACUCAGUCCAUCAGUCGUUGGUAUGUCGCGCCUAUGUUUUUUAGGCCGAAAGGCAUGACCCUUUAGUAAAAUUUGGCAUCUUCAAUGAUGAAUAUUGUUUUCUCCUCGCCUGGAAGAUGCAUUCUAAUCUAGUUGUAUCCGAAGUAGGCUUCUAGAAAGCUUAGCACCUAGAACCCGAAUGAUCUAUCGACUAGCCUGUCGAUGCUGGAUAUAGGGUAUGCAUCUUUGGGGCAUGCCCUGUUCAGUUCAAUGUAGUCGAUGCACAUGCGCCAUUUGCCGUUGGCCUUUUUUAUCAUGACGACAUUGGCGAGCUAGGUACAUAACCUAACCUCUCUGAUGAAGUUUGCGUGGAGUAGCUUGUCAACUUUUUCUUUGACAGCUUUAUGCCACUUUUCUCUUGUCUUCCUUUUCUUCUAUGAUACUUGUUUGGCCUGGGGCCAGAUAGCAAGUUGGUGGAAGAUUAUGUCAAGGUGGAUUCUCGACAUUUCAGAUGGUUGCGAGGCAAAGAGAUCAAUGUUUUUGCAUAGCAUGUCAGCAAGGCACCGAUAUUCAUGAGCGGAGAGGUCUCUAUUAAGCCAUGUGCACUACCCCAAUUUAGGUCUAAGUUGCAACUGCGCAAGAUCUUCAAUGGGUUUCAGGCAUCUGUUGAAGGUGUCAUAUCGCGGAUCUAUGUCAAAUUCACCACCCAAGCUAGCUUGGUAGACAGUUAAGGCUCGAACAUGAGACCCUUCAUCCACUGUCAUGACUUGUGUGCAUUCAGCCACUAUAGGGUGAGGCAUGGCAGGCUCCUGAAUGGGAGGAUAUGGUGCUACCUUCAGGCUCUCUGCAUAGCACUGGCGUGCUUACUUUUGGUCAGCCUUAACUAUUACAAUCUCCCAUGUCAGUGUAGGGAAUUUCGUUGUCAAAUGGGGCAUGGAGGAUAUGGCUCCCAACUCCUUGAGUGUCUUUCUUCCUAUUAAGGCAAAGUAUGAUGUGGUCGCGUCAACCAGUAGAUAUCUGAUGGUGAAGCUCCUAGAGAGCUUGCCCUGACCGAAGGUGGUCAUUAAGUCCACAUAGCCUCGGGUUUCGACUCUCUCGCCUAUAAAACAGAGGAGUGGACUUGCGUAAGGGUGGACAAUGUCGGGUGAAACCUCGAGUCUCUGGAAUGUUUUUCAAUACAGGAUGUUAGGGAAAUUGUCCUGGUCGAUGAGGACCCUAGACACCAUGAAAUUCACUAUGAUGAUGGAGACAACCACCGGGAUUGUCUUGGUUGAUGAGAUUGAUGCCCCUGAAGUCCUUGUGCUGUAAAGGUGAUAGGAGGGACACUUCGCUAUAGGAGGUGUCGACAAAAUUAAUGUUGAUGUCCCAGAUAGUGUGUAGGUGCUGCUUUCGGGACUGGUUGGACUGUCCUUCAUAGGAAAAGCCUCUAGCGAUGGUGUUGAUUACACCUCUGAUGUGCUGGCGGAUUCCUAUUCUGGUUAAGGUGGUCGCUCGUGCCGCUGUGGUUGUUGUCUUUGUCUACCUCGGUCUUCCAGUCUUCUCUUGUCUACUUCUUGGUUCUUGUGUUGCUCCUCUUGAUGUCCUUUAGGCCUUGCUCCUUCCUGGUAGUGGUCUGGUCUCUUAACAAACUUGGCUAAGUAUCCAGCCUGUAUAAGUUCUUCGAUCUUGCCGUUCAAGGCCCAACAAUCUUUGGUGUUGUGUUCAAUACCGCGGUGAAACCUGCAGUACUUGGUUGCGUCUGACCCUGGCCUCAGAGAUUUCAUUUGGGGUAGCCGGACAGGUACCUCCAGGUCGAAGGCUUCCUCAAGAAUCGUGGUACGAUUGGCCGUCAAUGGUAUGUAACGCUCAUACCGGGCCUUUUGGAGAGAGGUUGGCGCUUGUCUAGCUUGUGCCUCUUGUCCGACUUGUGCAAGUCGGUCUUGGUGUUUGCUUUGCACCUUUCACACUUUUGUUUGACUUGGUAGACUUCAUUCCAGAAUUUGGACAUUUCUUCUAUCUGGAUGUAACCCUUGGCUCGUUCGUGCGGCUCAUCCAUGCUACCAGGUAGUUUUUUGCACAAACUAUCUACGAACUUGCUAGGGUGUAGUGCGAGAAGCAUGGAAUGCAACUUUAUCUCAGGGUUGAGAUUUCGGAUCUGGACGACUGUGCGCCCAAAUUUGCCAAUGAACUUUCUGAGGGAUUCAUCGUCUGCUUGUCGUAGACUGGCCAAGGCAGCCAAGGUCAUGCAAUGAGACCUACUGGUGGCGUACUGAACACUGAAUCGUUCGAUGAGGGUGUCGAAGCUAUCUAUGGAUCUUGGUGGGAGUCCACCAUACCAUGUCAAUGUUGCUCCCUCGAGGGAUAUAGGGAAGACACGACAUAGAAUUGUGUCGUCAUUGGUGUAAAGGUUUGUCUAUGUUAGGAAGGCGUCCAAAUGCUCGUCUGGAUCUGUUGUCUCAUCAUACCGCUCGAGGUUAAGUGAUUUCCACCCCAAGGGUAUGUCUACCUCCAUAACGCGGUCGAUAAAAGGAUGUCAAUGGACAGUCUGUGUUGUUGGACGAUGCAUGAGAGAGACUCGGAUCGUCUGCAGUGUUGCUUGAGCGUCGGGGGUGUGAUUCCCCUAUAAGACUUUUUAUGUUAUGUUCACUUAACCAAGUCGUGUGUGCCUCGUUUAAACGAGUUUAUUAGAAAUGCCUAAUGCUAUGAACCCACUUGUAGUAUAAAAAGGUGGCCUAAAACACAAAGCAACGGUUCCAAAGUUUAUGAAUUCCAAGGCACAAAGGUAAGAGAGAGUUGUGUGGUGGUUUCCAUGCUUAGAGAUUCAUCCCUAAUUGUCUGUUUAUUAAUUUUUCUUUCCCAUGGUUAUGAGUAGCUAAAUCCUUUGUUUGUUGGGAUUUAAUGUAAUUGGAUACUGCUCACAUGUAAUUAUUGUAUUUUCCUUAUUCAAUAAAGUACUAUUAUUGUUUCUCUUCUAUAUUUAUUAUUUGUUCUUGGUCUGAUCAUCUUAUUGCAUGAUUCUCUCUAUUCAAUUGCUUUGCAAAAUUAAAUUGGAUUGAGAACAAAAGAGAUCAACCAAUGAACUUUAUGCCUAGGGAUAGGGUAACGAUCAUUGGUUAUCAUUUAAAACCCUAGUUCAUAUUGUUGGUCAAUUGAUUAUAUUACUCAAGGGAUUGAUAGUGCAAUCAAGACACUUUGGUUUUCUCACUUAAAAGAUUAAGGUUAGCAAAAAUUGCAGGAAUAAUUUGUAAUGCAUGUUACGUUAACCCAAUGAAGUUAAUCUCCAAUGAUUUCAUCCAUUGAUACAAACCAAGUUUUCUGGGCACACUAAGCUUUUGAAAAAAAUCAACAAUCAACUUUAUUCCUUUUUAACUCUUUACUCUUAUGCAAUUGUUUUUAACUCUUUACUCUUAUGCAAUUGUCUUUACUUUUUGUUAUUGUUAAGUCAAAAGAUAUUUUAAGAUGAAUCAAGACCCUUAAUUAUUUUUAUUAGAUACAAAUAAAUACAACGGUUAAAAGUUUUGUCUUAUGUGAUAUCAGAUUAUGCUUCAUGAUCUUCUGUUUGAUAUUUCAGACAGAAGUAUGAAUAAGUCAUGAUCUGAUACAAUAUUAAAGAUGACAUUUAAGACUUCAUUUAGUACUUUGUGUCUGAGGUUCAUUUGGCAGAAAUUGUCUCACAAGACAUUCUUUCAGGAUUUGUCGAAUCCUAUGAAGAAUAAAUGAAGUUUAAGUUCUAAAAGUUUCCAAACAACAUCAAAAGAUGUGUUUUACUGUGAUAGAUCUACUUUGACUAAAAGGAACUGAUUUUUUGUUAUAGUGAUCAACACGAAAGCCAGUCAUAGUGGUUUUCCUACAUGAAGCAGGAUAUGCGUUUAAUGCAAGCAUUAAAUGAUCUAAUAACCACAAGCUUCAGAUGCAAGUUCAAAGGAAAAUUAUAAUCGUUUAGAAACAACAAACACUUGAAAAUGAAAACCUAUAAAUACUAGAUGCUUUGAAGAAAUGAGUAACGAACCUACACGCUAUCAUUCAAAUUCUUUAUGUAGAAAACUCUUUGUAUAUUCUUAUAAAGUUUGAAAAGCUCUCAAAACAUCUUGAAUACUCUAAGACAAAAAACUAAAUGCUUAGAUUUCACAUUUGUUUGUAAGAUGAUUAAGAUUUAAUCAGUUAGCAAUCAAACAACAUAUCUUCUGAUUUGUAUAGAACCAACAGUGGUUUGGUAGGACAAAGAAUAUUCGGUUGUUAAAGCUUGGCGAUAAACUUUGUUGUGAGAGCUAAAAGUAACAGUGACAAAUACUUGUAACUUUUGUGAAAUUAGUGAAACUUGAUUGCUAACCAAAAACUGAACUUAGUCUGAAUGGUAGAGACAAACCAAUAUAAAUAUGAGUCUUACUUUCUUUUUAGUUAUCUUUUAACUUAAACUGACAUAGUUUUUGAAUUUGAUCUUGUUUGAAAAACACAUUCUAUUUUUUAAAAUAUGUUUCCAUCGUCUAAACUUGUUUUUGCACAAAUUUGUUAUCUCGUUUUAUUAAGUUAUACUUCAAAUGAUAACUUUAAUUUUCACGAAAAAAGACUUAAGAAAAUUCUAAAAUUACAAUUUAACCCCUUAUGAUAUUUCUAAUUGUAGUUACUUUUUUUAAGACUUUACUUUUGAUCACUUAAUAACAUUGAAAUUCAUAGUCUAUUAAAUUUAUUAUUAAAUAACCUAAUUAUUGCACAAGUUUUUGUGGAGACGACUCUAUUUAUCGCUAUUGCUACCUGAAGGAUUUAAUACUCUUGCCAAAAUUCCAAUAACAAAUUGGAAAAAAAAUACAUAAAGCCUUCGUUAAGUUUGGGCGAGAAACAUUGGCUGAAGACUCAACUUGAUUUGUAUAAAUAUAUAUUAAGAUUUCCUUUCAAUUUUACUCUCAUUCCUCAAGCUCUCAAACCAUGGUUCCCUCCCAUUUUAAAUUCGAAACAAGCUCCUAGAUUGGAAUGGCAGUAGAAAAAAAUGAUUUAAUCAUGCUUUUUUUAACUAUGACCAUGAUCUUAAAUGUACCAAACAAAUGUCCACAAUGUCUUCUAAUGAAUUGACUUUAGAAGAAAACAAUACUAGAUUUUGUCCAUCCAUUUAGACGAAAUGAUUAGACACAUGAUAUUUUGAAGAUAAAGGAUUUGGUGUUCAUGAAUAUAGUGUGGGAUAUUUUUUAGAGUAAAAUUUAUGAUCUAAAACUUUAUAUAUAUAUAUAUAUAUAUAUAUAUAUAUAUAUAUAUAUAUAUAUAUAUAUAUAUAUAUAUAUAUAUAUAACCAAAAUCCUGCUGUUUAUAUGUUUAAUAAAAACAACUUAACUACAAUUAUAAAAAAUUAAAAAUAUUCAUCAAAUAAUGUUUUUUAACUUUACCAAAAUAUUCUUUCUUUGUCAAAAGUUAGACUUCAAUGUUAUUUAAAUUUUUAUAUUUAAAAUAUUGAAUUAUUAAUUAUUUUUUAUUUUUACAUUAAUUUGUAACAUAAAAUAAUUGAUUGUUUUUAUUAUUUAACUAAGGAUCAGUUUGUUUAAACUUUAAAAAAAUUGUGAAAUAAGUGUUUUUUUAAGAAACAUAUAAAGUUAACUUCUCAAAAAGCAGUAGAAAAUUAAUAUUUUUUAAACCAAAAGCAGUUUCAAACAUAUCAAAAUAUAAAAAAAUCUGUUUAUUUUAUCUAAAAAAUAUUUUUUAAUAAAUAGGUUUGAAUAAAUGGACCCUAAUUCAAACACUAUCAAUGUUGCUUCUGAAUUAGACGUUUUACAAAUUUACGUGCAUCCUGAAUGCCAUUCAAACCAUAAUUGUUUUCAUCACAAUAUGUUAAACUAAACAAAAAAUUUCAUACAAAAGCAUAUUAAACCUAGCCCAAACGUACAAUUAUCCAAGAAUCCUCACAAAACAAAAUCAUACCAAUUACCAGAAUCAAAUUGGAAAUGGAUCGAAAGCUCCUUUGACCAUUUUCUCAAGAGGCCCAAACAGAGGGUGUGACAAAUGAUCCCACUCGUACCAAUCCCAACCAUCACACUUGGUAGGUUCAAGAUUUUGUGGAACUUGUUCUUUAACUACAUCCACGUCCACCAUUGCCCUCAUGAAAAUGGUCACAUAGUGACACUUUUUUGGCUGCUCUAACAUAGUUUGUUACGGUCAAAAUCUGAGUUUCCUAUGUCCAACUAUGUUUCCUCUUUCACUUCUCUUGCUGCGCAUUCCUCAAAACUCUCCUGAAAAAUUAAAAUGCCCCCAAAUUAGUUAGAUAAAAUAAAUUUAAUUAACAAUUUGUUAUAUUUAUACUAUCAUUUAAGAGUUUACUAUCUAUGUACUAAUAGAAUAAAUCAAACUUAUCAUACCUGAUGAAUUGCGAUUAGAUGAUUCUAUAAAAUAUAUUACACUAUCUAUGCAUAAUUCUUCUCAUCAUUUAAUUAUUAAACAAAGUACUAUAUUUUUUUAGUUAUCUACAAUAACAGUAAUGGAGUUUAAACAUAAAACAUCAUACAAACUUAAUAACUUUCCUUUCACCCAGCUAACCUUGGUGGGUUUUAAUUAUAAAUGAUAAUUUUUAAUUUUAUUUUAUAAAAAUUACUUUAAAAAUAAUGCUUAGAGUAACUUUAAUUAAAAAGUAUUAGGAACAUAAUCAUCUAAUUCUAACACAUUUUUUAUUUAAAAUUUAUUAAAAAUUUAAAAAGUAAAACUCUUUUAAAAAAAUAGUUCAUAAUAAAGAUUAUGUUUAAAAGAAUAUUUAAAAAAAUAUAUUACUAACAUGUUUUAUUUAAUUAAUAAUACAAUUUUGUUUUACUAAUAAUAAAGCAUCAAAAUUAAACUAAACACAAAUAAAAUUUGCACUAAUAAUAAUAAUAAUAAUAUAAAAACAAAACUAAGCAUUACUUGAUUAUUUCGUUUUCAAAAUGUUUGACGAAAAAAAAAACAUAAUAUGAGAGAGAGUAAGGGAGUGACCGAAUUCGAGGUGGCCGCCUAGAAGGGUGAAGGUGGCAUUGCCGACAGCGGAGCGGCAGCGACCGAGGAGGAUCGAUCUGCCCUUCAAGAGGAAGAUGACAACCAGCACCCGCAGCUCCGACUCGCCACUGUUGUUGUUUUUGUUCUCCAUUUCUUUUAGGCUCUUGUUUCACCUCAUUGUUAUUAUGUUGCUAGUCAACACUCAACUUCUGCAAUGUUGAAUUAUCCAAUAAGUGAAUGACAUGUGGUCUAGUGGUUGUUUUUCUACGAACAUGUGUAAACAAAUUAAUUGUUAGAUCAAAAUUAAUUGUUACAAAAUUUAUUAUCUAAACUUUCAUGCGCAUUAAAUAUUAAAAAUUUUAGUGUUAUAUAUAGUGACAUUAAAUAUUUUAUAAUAUAAUUGAUUUAUUAAUUCAGUUGGUUAGAGUGUUGUGCUAAUAACACAAAACUCGAAGGUUUGAUUCUUGUUUGGGUCAUUAAUUUUAAAUUAAUUUGUAAAACGUUUUUAAAAAAAAAAUAGAAAAAAAAUAUUUGGACCACUUAUGGAUUGGACAAUCCUUGAGCUUCAACACUCGUUUGAUGGGUGCACCAUCUAUUAUGUUGGGUGCGUGUAACAAAACCCCAUUAUGGAAUGGACAUCCAUCAACUACCAUAGAAUGGACUUAAUUUAGUUUAUUGGGACGGAUAAUAAUAGUCGAUUACAACACUUGUCAUAAACUUGUAAAAACAAAUGUAAUAAAUUUUGUAGGGAGAUAAUUACAUUAUUUUAAAAAAUUAAUAUAUAAGUAUAUUUUCCUUCAAUUAUACAUUGUCGUAUAUGAUAAAAUUGUUGGUUUUAAUAAUAAUUAUUUUAAAAUCAUAUUGAUAAUAUUUUUUAUUAAUCAAUAAUGUUAAUAAAAAUAUAUAUUUACUUAACUUACAUUUAAAAGAUUUUUUAAAUGACCUAUAGUUUUACCUUUUAACCAAAUAAGUUUUUUUUAUAAAAUUUUAUGCAUAAGGUUAACUUUUUUUAUAAAAAAAAAAAGUUUGGCUUAACCUAGGCUCUAUAUAGGAUAGGCCAUAGGCUUGUAUGGAGCGGUUUGAUGUAUUCUUUUUGCUACAAAGAUACAAAGGAGAUGCCAUCUCCUGAGACAUGAAAACAUAAGCAACAAAAUAGCAACCCAACAAAGAAAACUAUAAAACCCAACCAUACACCCCACACUAGGUAAAGGCCAAAGACAUAGAUGAGGACCAUUGCUGAAAAGGAACAACAAAAUCCUUUUCCCACCCCCUCAACCAAGACCAGGUGAGAAAGAUUGCAUUAUCCACCAGCUUAGGGAUGACAAACGGUUGAUUUUUAAAAAUCAUGUCAUUUCUAAGGUUCCAAAUAGAUAUUGUAGCUGCUAUCCACCAAAUCUUCCACUUUCUAUUAGAAUCCCUCAAACCAGCCAAGGAGAAGUGCUGAGAGAAGUUGUCCCCAGGCCUACAGUGCAUAACUCUGUCUUCCUUGACCCAAGAGUUAAACUCCCACCACGUUGGCAUAACUUUUUUAUAAGUGAAAAAGAGAUGAGAGGCACAUUCAACUUGGCUUUGGCAAAAGGUGCAAAGAUCAUUUUCAAUUACAACUUGCCUUCUAGUUAAGUUUUCCUUAGUCGGUAACCUAUCCCAAAGUAGUCUCCAAGCAAAGGAUAGGGCUCUAGGAGGUACUUUGAUUUCCCACAGCUGACUGAAGCCACGAUUUAGGUAGCCAAUUGGCUGAUCACCUUUAAUACAAAGAUAGGCAGUUCUAGUAGUAAAGAUUCCCUUUGGGUCAGCUCCCCACACCCAAUAAUCCUUCAAAGCUGCAUUAGGGCUUAGUGUUGUAGCCUGUUCAAUAAAGGCUGAAGCUCUUCCCAACUCAUUGUCGAAAAGAUUUCUUCUCCAUGAGAAUUCCCACUCCCAACCAGCUUCUCCAAAGGACCCCAUGCUUUCCACUGUCUGAAAUUUUUGAGAGGAUAUUUGAUACAAUUUUGGAUAUUUAUCUCUAAGAGUUAUUCCAUCACCCACCUAAGAGUCUUCCCAAAAUAGUAUUUGAUCACCACUGCCCAAUUUCCAAAGAAACUGCUUUAAGACAUCACCCAUGCUACUGUGAUGAAUUAUAGACCUCAAAUCAGACCACCAAAAGGAAUGGGUUUGCUUAGGAAGGCCCUCUUCCAAUCCUCUCCACCCCUUGUACUUUGAAGUGAGAAUUCUACUCCAUAAUUGGUCGGGUUGUUGGAACAUUAGCCACUUCCACUUGAUAAGGAGGGCUCUAUUAAAAGCCUUGAUGUUUUUGAUUCCCAAGCCUCCUUUAUCUCUAGGAGCACACACUUGAUCCCAAGCCACCCAAGUUAUCUUUUUACCUUCUGCACCUCCACCCCAAAGAAAGUGUCUUUGGAUAGUAGUAAGCCUAUUUAUCACUACUGAAGGGGCCCUGAAAAAAGACAUGUAAAACAGAGGCAAAGCUGUCAAGACAGAACUUAUUAGAGUAAUUCUGCCUGCCAUUGAGACAUUUCUCUGGUUCCAUUUAUUCAACUUAGCCUCGAAUUUUCUAAUUAUGGGCUCCCACACCACCUUCCUUCUAGGAUUGACACCUAUAGGCAUCCCUAGGUAACUGAAUGGAAACUGCAGGGGGCCACAAUUCAGGUAAUCAGCUGCAAAUCUGCACCAGUCCUCGGUUUGGCCGAUUGCACCAAAUUGGCUAUUAGCAAAGUUAAUUCUGAGACCAGAUACCAUUUCAAAGCUUUUGAGAAUAGCCUUAAUAACUGUGACAUUAUCCAUAGAUGGUUCCCCAAAGAAGAUAGUAUCAUCAGCAAAUUGUAGUAUGUUGACUGGGAUCUUUUUCUUUCCCACCAUAAAAUUGUGGUAGUAGUUUUUGGAAACAGCUGCCCUCAUCAUGCCUGUCAAGCCUUCAGCAACUAGGUCAAACAAAAGGGAGCCAAUGGAUCCCCUUGUCUCAAGCCUAUUUGAGGUUUAAAUUCAGAAGUAGGACUUCCAUUCACUAGUAUAGAUAUUGAUGCUAAUGAAAGACACCCCUUAAUCCAGCCAAUCCACUUUUCAUUAAACCCCAUUCUUCUCAUCAUGUAAAAGAGGAAAUGCCAAGACACAGAGUCAUAUGCUUUUUCAAAAUCAACUUUGAACACCAAACAAGGUCUCUUAGAUCUCCAAACCUCCUCAACAACCUCAUUAGCAAUUAAAACUCCAUGAAGCAACUGUCUGCCUUUAACAAAAACUGAUUGCCUUUCAUCUAUGAGAUGAUACAUAACCUUGCUAAGCCUAUUUGAUAGUACUUUGGCAAUAAUUUUGUAGACACAUCCUAUUAGAGAUAUUGGUCUGAAAUCACUAAUAAGUUGAAGGUCCUUGAUCUUGGGGAUAAGAGCAAUGAAUGAUGAGUUGAGACCCUUGGGGAAGACUGCAUUCACAUAAAAUUCUGAGAAGAACCUAAGGAACUCAGGUUUCAGCUCCUUCCAGAAGUGCUUAAUGAAGCUAAAAUUAAGCCCAUCAGGCCCUGGGCUUUUUUCACUGCCACAAGCCCACACUGCACUAGACAUCUCCUCCUCUUUGAAGGGUUCCACCAACAUCUCACUUUGGAUUGAAGGCAAGACAUUAAAAGAGACCCCAUCUAAGUUGGGUCUGUGCAGGUAAGGUUCAACAAAUCUGCCUUUAAAAUGCUGAAGAACUGCAUCCUUAAUGGCAGAAGGGUUUUCUACCCAACUACCAUUAAUUUGCAUCCCCCUCAAGGCAUUCCUCCUUCUGCUGGAAUUAAUGAUUUUGUGGAAGUAGGAAGUGUUGCUAUCUCCCUCUUUGAUCCACUUACAUCUAGACUUCUGUCGCAAUAUUGAUUCAUGAAGAAUAGAUUGCUCCCAAAGGUCAGAUUGGGCUUUCUUGAGCUCUUGAACUUGUUGAUCAGUAGGUUGAGCUGUGAGGGAAUUCUCCAAGUCAUUCAGCUUAUGCUGGAUUAGCUUCACCUUGUUGCCCAAGUCUCCACAAUUUUCUUUGCUCCAGGUUUUUAACCUUUGCUUAAUUUUCUGAAGUUUGCAUUUCAAGGCAUAUCCCCCCCAUCCCAUAGGCUGAUUAGCAAACCAGCAGUCCCUCACCACCUUAUUGAAGUCCUUAUUGUGCAACCAAGCAUCAAAAACCCUAAAAGGCUUAAGGCCCCAAUCAAUAUUUUUAGAAUUCAAAAUGAUAGGGCAAUGAUCUGAGUAGUUCCUUUCAAGGUUGUGUAGGGAACUAUCAGGCCACUUGGAUACCCAAUCAUCAAAGACCAGCACUCUGUCUAACUUGCUCUUACAAGAACCAUUAGGCCUAACCCAAGUAAAGGGCUUGCCCAAGCAAGGAAUAUCAUCUACCUCCAUUUCAGCGAGCCACUCAUUAAAUUCAGCUAUAAGAUUAGUGUCUGCAUUACAAAGAGUGCUUCCCAUUCUUUCAGCUGGGUGUUUAAUGCAGUUGAAGUCCCCUACAAGGCACCAGCACUGAACCUGGGACUGAUUCUUCAUUAAAUAUAGCCUCUGCCAUAACUGUCUUUUGCUUUCUAGCUCACAAGAAGCAUAGAUAUUAGCCACCACUACCCUCUGACUUUCUACCAGCCAUACCCCCUCCAACAUGAUGAAACCCCUUUCAGCUAUUUUAAUAUCAACCUGGAAGUUAUUGUUAUUCUUGACACAGAGAAGCCCCCCAGCUGUAUUGACCGCAGGAAACCAUUUCCAAUCAAAGUCUGAGUGACCCCACAGAGCCUGACAAAGUGCCUUGUCAAUGGAAUCCCUCUUUGUUUCUUGCAAACAAAGAAGAUCUAUCUUAUGCUUCCCAACCAAAUUCCUGAUAGAGGCCCACUUAAUACCUUUACCCAACCCUCUAAUGUUAUAGGAUAGGAUAUUCAUUUAAGAGGUUUCCUAUUCCCCAACUCCUUAGCUUCUUUUCUGUCUCUACACUCCAUAGAAGCAUAACUGUGAAGGAAAUGUAGGUUAUCUGUAACUGUCUCCAUGCCUAAGUUUUCUCCGAGAUGCCAUAAUUGUUGAGCCUCUUGCAACACCUUAUCACUGCACUCAAUUAUGCUUUUCAACCUCCUUUCUGAGUCCACGUAACUCUGAUUUUUGACCUUAUCCUGAUUGGCAAGUUGAUCUGCUAGAGCCUGGAUGCCAUCUUGAAGUUGAGGAUGCUUUUCCUCAAUCUGUGAGAGUCGGGCCUUAAAGAGAGUUUUGUUGUCGAAAGUAAACUUUAGAAUACUUGUCUGGAGUCUCUUUUAUGGAUUGGAUUACAGGUAGGGAUUCCUUCUUAUGGCACCCGUCAGUUUUCAAAAUUGGGCCUAAAUCAUUACUUAGCCCACCCUCUUUUUUAUUCUGCACAGCUUGCACCCCCAAAAGCUCAACUGGGUGGAUGUCUUCUUUAUUACACCCUCCUUGAGUCGAAAUUGGGCCCUUAAUGCAACCUGGCCCAAUUCCUUGUUGAAUCUGCCCCGAUAAAGAAGGAGAGAGAGACUGCGUGACAUGUCCCUCUUCUUCCCCGAUAAAGGUCUGGUCAGCAGCUACUUUCGCUCCACCAUUCAAAUACUUUCCCUCUAUGUGAUUCCUGUGCCUUCGAUCAUCAUGUAGGGUAUUAUAGCAGGUUACCUCUUUGGUGUUAGCAGCUUCCUCUUCUGUUCCUGCGAAGCUGUCCCCUAGGUUGAGCUUACCAAAGCUAGAGCCCAGCAUACCUUCUACAGUGCCUUUUGACUUUUCUUUGGGUGUAACGUCUGCCUGGAUAUUACCCAGGGGUCUAAGAUCACAACAGCGCACAUCGGUCCCUCCUUCUGCCCGUUGGGUACGAGACGGAGACAAUUUCUGGUUGGGCAGCUCCGGCGAGAAGGAGAAAUUGGUAUUAGUGUCGCCAAGAACAUCGCCAACCUCCCCUUCGUCGUCUGAUGUUAUCAUCUCCGACCACCCAUCGGACGGCGAGCUUCCUUUCCGGUUCGACCCACCUUCGAACCCUGUCUCUUCCACAAUCCAUACCCGAUACUCAAGCUCCCCCACACGGACGAUGACCUCCGACCUUAUCAACGGCGGAAGCGGUGUCCGCACCAAUACUCGAGCCCGGUCCAAUCGUCGGCGGUCCUCUGUGUCAUCGUCUGACUCGAUGACAUCCCCAAUAGCAGCUACAUCCCUCCUGAGAUUUUUCAUUUCCCACACCUGUAUCAGAAAUCCCCACAGCUGGAGCCAAACAACCCUGUUAUUGGGUCUACAUUUCGGCGUCCACUUCUCCAGUGAGUAAAAGAGAGAAUCAUCGCUUUCCGUCUCUGAUUGAAUGAGGAGUUGAGCUUUGUCAUCGGACAUCCCAGGGAGAAGAACCAUGUCGUCUCCGAGGAACUUAGUGCGGACGUUAUAUCCUAACUCCCAAGUGAUACGAUCCUCUAAGGUUUCCACCUCCAUCACCUUCUUUAGCAUGCCCACCCAGGUUUCGUUACACCAAUAUUCCCCACCUUCAUCUGGGUUGAUCAGAAUAGUUGGUGUUUGUGCCUCGUCUGCCCUUUUGUCUCCUUGGCACCCCCCCCUUAGUCAUCACGUCCACAUAUGAUCUCCGAAGAGCACCAGUAGUUAUCCCGCAGGGCUUACUUGCUUCGUCGGUGUACUUCCUCCUAAUGGGGUUCUUUUUCUACAACUCUGUAUUCCGAACUGGUCUGUCGAACCUAGGAAGGUUGACAAAUAGUUUACAAUCGUUGAUGAAGAUGUUGUCCAGUCUCACCUCCAAUCCUUUUGCAUCCGAGACUCCCUUGAACCGCAUGAACCUGUAUCUCCUGCCAUGCUUGUUGAGCCUUUUAGCGAUGUAUACUUCACGUACGUCACCCCAGUUUUUGAAGUGCCUCCAUAGCAACUCUUCAUUAGCUUCGUCGGGGAAAUGGGUGAAAUAAAAGGAGGUAAUGUCGGCAUUGUUCCUCCAGUUAAGGCGAUAAUGUUUGUUGUUGUCCCCUAUCUCCAGAUUUUGUGAUUGUCUUCCCGCUAAAGAGGAUUUCUGCAUAACCUUCAUUGAUCUUCUGCUUACCACCUUAGUCCAGUUUUCUUCCUCAGCGUAGUCAUUGUCCCUUCCGAAAAUGUUGACUCGUCGCCCUCCAUAUGGUUCUUCCCUUCAAUCCAUACUCCUCCAUCUCCUUGAAGGGGAACCGUUUGGAGUUCUUCUGUUUGUGCUAGUCCUCGCCGUGUUUCGAUACUGCUUCACACUCGUCCUCGCCGUGUCUGUUUCGCUCCAUCUCUCAUUUCUUCUGUCUCUGUCUGUCACUCUCCUUCUCUCGCGCCCUCUCUCUGUCUCUCUCCCUCUCUCUCUCUCUUUCUCUCUCAUCUUUUUUUGUAAAGUGAUCGUGUAGGUGUGUAGUAUGAUAGAUGCAUUCUGGUUGAACAACUCUUGAGCAAGAAAAUCAACCACUCCUUGGAAGCUCUGUUUACGUAUCAAGGAGGAAUGUUGAAGUGCUAAUACACAGUUUCAGUCGCAUGUUCUGUUCUAGAUAUUUUGAUAAGGGGUAUGAGCUUAACUGAAAUUAGGAAAAAGAUAUGUAUGAUUAAUUGAACCAGUUGAUGUAUGUAAUAUUUGCUGAUAUAGGCAGUUACAGAAGGAGUUUCAGUCCUUAUUUUGGGUAAAUUUGUAUCAAAGUUUGAAUUGACUUUUAGCUGGCUUUGAAAUUCCUCAAAGUGUAGUGUACUAGCCUUGGUUUACACCAUAAACUAAGUUCAUAGAUCUAGAGUUUAACUUUAAACCUAAAAAGAACAAAAAGCAAGUUAUAGGUAAUGUAACCAGUCAAAGUUGUAGACUAAAGUUAUGCAAAAUAAACUCUCAAACUUCAAUCAAUAAUAUUGAAAAAUGAAAAGAAGCUCAAAAUAAUUUAAAUAUCAACUUCUUUCCUUUUCUUAAAAUGAAAAGUUUUACCAUCCUACUGGAUAUAGAGCUUGUAAAGCUUUGCUAUGUAUAACAAUCUCACCUCUAUACUGGGAGGAACCAGUGGUCUCUUCCCUUUCAACUCUCUAGUUAAGAAGUCCAGUUUCUUUUCUUCAUCCCAUUCACUGUACGUACCCAUAUCCAAAUACCUUGUAAUUGCAUCAAUGGUUUCAGCAUGUCUGCUUGAUUCCUGUCACACUGCUAGUUUCAGGCCACAACUGAUUAUCCAAACAAUAAUGAACAAAAAACUUUGAAACAUACCUGACGCAAGUCAAGCUUCAUUAACACCAUGCCAAAAGUAGCAACUCUUCGAAUCAGAUCAGCUAGUCGACCAUCAGCUAGCACCCCAGAUCCACAUAAUUGCUGGAGAAAUGUAGAGCUAAAUGAUAAUUCUGCACAAUAUUAGAGGGUAAAAGGGUAGAAAAGAAAGAAUACCAAAGAUUCAUAACAAAGGAGAAGAGGUUCCAAAAGCUGAUAUUUUGUUUCAUAAUAAUCCAUAGGAUCAUGUUUAGAUGGACCAUGUCGAUAAGAAUCUCCAACCGUCUACGAGUUCUCAGAAGCUAAACACAUGGAACGAAAGAUAAUAUUACCGGUUAUUAAGACAAUAUAUAAAAUCUGCAUAUUCAAUAAAAAUGUAGAUGUGAUUUAGUUUUAAUGGCACCCCAGGAUACAAAUCCUCCACAGACAAUAUUCAAAUCAAAACUAGGAAAAUAUAUUUUUCAUACUAUGCAUAUCCUAACGUAUAUAUGGUUCUAUCUAUAUAAUCAUCUUCACUGUGAAAGCCGUGGAACAAAGCAAAUAGGAUUGAUCUCAAGAUUAGUACAUUUAACAGUCUUUGACCAAAAAGCAAUAUGAUUUCAUCAUAUCCAGGAACGUUCCUAAUAAUGCAUAUAAAUUAAUGAUCCAUGUGUCUGCUAUCUGUCAUUCUACACAAAGACAUUUUGCAAUUGAAUUUCAAAUCCGUAGUGCCAAGGCUCAAGUUCAAAAGUCCUUCACUCUUUAUCUACAAAUAAUACAGAAAAUAUCAAUAUAUGCUGAAAUCAAUCUCAUAGAGCUUUAUUUGCCACAACGUUUUCUACAAUAAUAUCAAUCCUUAGUGGUUCUGCUGACUUAAUUUCAUAACCACGUCUUUCUCCCUAAAGGAAAAAUCAAGCCAACAACAUAAAUAAAGAUAAGAUAAAAAAAAAUAUGGUUUUAGAUUGUCCAUUUACGGGAAAAUAUUUUGGACUCCCAAUAUUUCCAAAUUAUUUGCCGUGGAACUUCACUUCUAAACCAAAAUGUAGUUUCUACCAACCCAAACAAACAAACAAAAAGUUAUGCAAUAUCAUUUAUUUCAUUUGCAAACUACAGUCUACACGGGCACAUUUAGUACAUGCCUGCCAGGUUAUAAAGCUAAAAACUCCUAAGACAUAAGCAGCAUAGUUUUGUACAAAAUAAAACAGCAGAAACUGAAUACAUGUGUCCAUGCAACCAAUUUUGAAGCAUUGUUGAAGUAAACCAGAAGUAAUACCUUAACUUUUAUAUAUUCAAGGACAACUCUAUAAGGAGCAAUUCCAGGAACCUGAGUUUGGCUCCAAAAGCCUCUGAAAACUGGUCCUUCCUAUUUGGGAUUCUGCAAACAGUUUCCUCUGAGCAACAAGUUGACUAGAGUUGAAAGAAGGAGAGUAUGUCAUUGAAACUAAUGAAGAACUGGAAUUUGGUAAAAUUGGUAUUGACAAACGGACAUUUUGACUGCCACCAUUGCUCUCAGUUGAACUUGAAGUCUCACCACCCUAUCAGUGAAUAUAUGUACACAUGUAUUAUCUAGGAUUCAAUGGAAAAUUAGGAAAUCUACUGAAUUGAUCUACCUUGUGAUUGGGUUGUCUACUGAAAAUUAGGCAUGUGUCUGGGAUACUCAGAUCCACCCUCUUCUACAUGAAAUGUAACAUUCAAACCAGAACUUCAUACUAAUAGAUAAUAAGUUAAUAACAUACUUGAUUGGGUCAAGAAUUUAUAUAUGUCGGCAUAUGAAUAAAAUUGCACUAUAUUCCUCAUGCAUGAUAGCAUGAGAAGUUAUUCAAAGGAUUGGAAGGAUUCCAAUUCAUUUGUUCAUGCAAUCAGCAAUGGGCAUCAUUCCUUAAUUAAAAAUUGUUAAAGAUUAUUAAAGUUAGAAGCCACUCAACAAGUAAAUAUUUUUUUGCAGUUACAGAAGAAAAGAACAUGCCAGUUAAAAACAGGAUAUGCAAACAAAAAACCAGACAGCAAUUUUUUGAAAAAUUAUACGUACCAGGCCAAGCACAAGAGGGUAUAUGAGCUCCAGCUGGAAGUUUAGUCGGAAGUGGUGAAGCUUGUUGAUUAGGAUGUUUUGACUGACUUCUACUCAUAGAUCCAUUCCAGUGCUCAUGGUGAUCCUCCUCAUCAUUACCUUCUGAAGAGAAAGAAGUGAUCAUCAAGUCUUAAAAGUGGAUUGAAAGAGUAUCAAAGAUAUCUUUGAGGAUAUAACAGUGACAAGGCGUAGUCUAGAAGAACAAAUCAUAUAGAAAAAUCUUCAGCUAAUCAUGUAAAGACAUUGUGAGUGCAUUAAUAGAACAAUAAAUGGAUGACCAUUUCACUUGCAGUGUAUCAUCAAAUACUAUAGUGUAUCUAUAUUAGUCUAACUCACACCAAGGUUUAAAAUACUUUGUAGUAUCUACAAACUAUUUUCAUGCCGGAAGAAAACUUUCCAUUUGAAAAAGCAGAUUUUGUUGCCUCAUCAUAUGAAACCUUUUGCAAAAACAUUCCGAGGAAACAUAUAAAAAAGACCUCAAAGCUUUUACCACACGUAUGCAACUAUUGUCAAUCUCAUAUCAUUCAAUUGGAAAAGAUUUGACAAAGUGGAUUGGAGGUAAAAGUUGACAGGUUGAUGUCUACGGAAACAAGAGAAAAGUAAAAGAGCAAAACACAGGCGUAUUUUGAUAAGUUUGAGUUAUUAGUAAGGCCACAAAAGAGAUACGUCAGGAUAAUUUUUAAAGGAAUUUCCAAGCCAAGAGGACAAUGCCUUGAUGCACCAAAGAAGUAAUGCAUAAAAGAAGACCAAAGAGGGAUUAAAUGAAUGACCAAAGCCUCAAGGAUAAAUAGAUAGAGCAUAAUAUCAUCAUUCAAAAUAUUACACGGUAAUAUUAAGGGUUUCAAAAGGACCAUCAAAUUCACAUGAUAAUCUAACACAAUAAAGAAAAAAAAUAAAAAACUAUACUAUCUUUAAGUGGUUCAAUUUGCCUGUGCACAUGAACUAGUGUUACUUCUUGACAAACAGUAUCCAGAGGUCACAUGAUAUAAAACAAAGAUGACUGCUAUGCCCAUUAGCAUUUGGAAGAUAUCAACAAACACAAAACUAAACAGACAAACCUUUUAGAAUUUCAUGUGCCAGUUCUGACAACUUAUCACUGCACUGGUUCAUGGAUAGCUCAAAUCUUAGGCCAUCCACUUCCCGAAUGUAGAGGUCAAUCGCCAUCCAUCUUGACAGAAGUGAAACAUCUUUUGUGACCUGAAGAACAAAACGAAAACCAAUUACACAAUCAGAUUUGAAUAACAGGGUCAAAUCAAACGCAAAUAUUCUUCAACUGUAGUAACAUCAACACCGACCACAAUCAAGCUUUAUCCCACACCUGAUGGAGUCAAACACGGAUCAGUUAAUAUCAGAAACCAAUUUUUCUUUAAAAGCCAUUUUUCUGUCCAUAUCUAAAGAACAAUAACAACAAUAGUGAUGUUAGCUACAUGGAUCACACAAUGUUACUGGGUUCAGUUAAAAACCAAAUUCUCAGGCUAUUCAUGUCUAAAAUACAUUCAAUGUAAUUUUACAUUGGCUAUCAACUGCCCAAAAUUACCCACCUCUUUUAUCCUAGCCUGAGACAAUAUAAAAUUUGACUAAAAAGUACAAUAUUGGAAAAGUUCCAAGAAUAUUAUUCAAACAAAUAUUUUGCAUGUUAAAAGCUCAUUUAUUUUUGUCUGCAGUUUUCCCAGUUCAAUCAUCAUUAAACUUGCACUUUCCAAAAUGACAGGCAGUAAUACUGGACAUGUUAAGGUUGUCAAUAAUAUAAUGAUAUUACAGAUUCAACUAUGCUUCCACUACUAGAAAACUUCUCACGUGUUGAAAAAGAAUCAUGUAGUUAUUUGAGAAAAUGAAAUCACAUAGUAAAAGUACAGGCAGCAUGAAUGGAUAUUUGAAGAUGCUACCUUUGCUGUCACAUUUGGGUUUCCGUCUCUAUCACCUCCCAUCCAAGAUCCAAAUUUUAUUGGAGUGCAAGUCAAUGGAAGUGGUUUUCCUGUGUGCUGCAAGGAAAGAUAAAUUGCACUGAAAAUCUUAAAGAGAAAGAAUGUACAAGUUAAUUGACAUAAAUUAAAGAUGACAAACCUUCUUUAAAGCGCUGCUAACUCGACGUAAAUAAUGAGGAACAGCUUUUCAGAGUGACUCCUCCACAAUAUUCAAUACUGGGAGAAUUGAAAAAUAAAUAAACCAAGGGAUUCUUCCACUUCUUUUUUUUUUAACAGUGAAUCAAAUCAUGCAAGAGAUGACAUAUUGUUAGAUCUCAAUAUAGACCAGUUAUCUGGAGGGUCUAUUCUAGAAGGAAGAAAUCGAAUUAGUUAUUAGUUUAAUCUUUAGGGCCAUCUAUCUUUAUUAUUCUAUCUUUAUCUUUAUUAUAUCUUUAUCUUUAUUAUUCUAUCUUUAUCAAUUAGUAUUCUAUCUUUAUCUUUAUUAUUCUAUCUUUAUCAAUUAGUUGGAUUAGGAUAUUAUAAAUAAGAGUAUUCUCAUUAGAGGAGGGGGUAGAGAAGAAUUAGAAAUUGUAAAGGGUUUUCCCUUGGAAGAAGGUUUCCUUCUUGAAUAAAUUCAGUUUGCUCCCAGUAUUUUCCGUUUAUUCUUCUAUUUUCUGUUUCUCUUGUUUUCUCUGCUGUUAGGGAUAUUCAAUACCCUAACACAUAUAAAUUGUCAAGGAUUCUCUCUUAAAAGAUUGAUUUAUUAUGUGUUCAUGUAGGUGCCUUUGGGGAUAACAAGGACAAAACUCUUGAACACUUGGUCAAAAUGGCCAUAGACCAUUCUUAGGAACAACUAAAAAGCCUAAAGCUAAGAGGUAAAGUAUAUCUAACAUAUAAUACUCAACCAGCUUACCUGCCCUAGCUUCAUCAACUGGAGCGGGUUUUGAACGCCUAAGUUCAUCUGUCUGCCAUAUUGAAGUUUUCUCUCCCACCUAAAAAAGCCAAUAUGAUUGAUGAGAAUAGAAAUAAAGUGUGUUAGAAAAAGGAAAUCCACUAUCCAUUCACAUUUAAAGAUAAUCUACCACACUGAAAAACUAGUGGAUUUUUUACUUUUGGGGUACAAACACCGGUGGUUAAGUAGAAUGGAAAUAGUUCAAGAAUGGUACCAGAUCUUCAAUCCACAUAUCUCGAUCUUCAGGGCUAAGAUCAGGUCAAUCAUUAUAAUCCAAAAGAUGCUGCUUGAAGGUGAAAAAGUAGUUAGAGACAACACACUUCCAUAAUAUUUGAGAGAUGAUAUCAUAAAGUUAAAGGCUCAAGCUUCCAGUAAUUUAAUAUAUUCAGAAAAGAGAACAACUCACAGCAAUUUUAAGGUGUUUAUAUUGCAAGGUACGAUGGUUAAUUUGAGUGGGAUGAGCAGUGAGAACAAUUUCAACCUCCUGUGGCAACAAAUGAAAUUAGAUUUUGAAUGACAAUAGCAAUUGGAACCAGAUUCUGUUAAAAUCCCUGGCAAUACACACAUAAUGUUUCACUAAAUUAAUAACAAGAUAAUUGUCAAGAAAGAAAAUAAUUACAUGCUUUAAUCUCAGCUUGCAGAGUGCAUAGACAACGAAAGAUCAUAUACUUAUUUUCAUCUAUACGUCUCAGACUAUGCAGAUUAACCAGAAAUGAGGAACAAAACCACAGAUCUGGAGAAACCCCAUCUUGCAACAGGUUGUUAAAGAUAUCAUCACAAGAUUUUGCAGCAAGAACCAUAUUUCAUUUUGCAGCAAGAACCAUAUUUCCUCCUUUACGAACCCUGCAAAAACAUAACUUGUUUAAAGAAGUAUAGUAUUCCCUCAAUGUUGUUAUUAGUCAAAGGUUCGGCUUAUUUUGGAGAGAUUGCGGCUUAAUUUUGCACAGAGCUCAGCCAAAUAAAGACAAGACAAAUUAUCAACUAAUGGAAUAAAAAGACAACAAUAGUUGGAGACAAGAAUGUAUACCUAUGGUGGGUUUCAGCUAUACCCAUCAAAGUAAGAUGAUGGCUAAAGGCACGAGCAAGGGGCAAAGCUUCUUCCAGCGUCAUCUUGGAUAACUCUGAAGCCAAUUGCUUCUCUAGCAUCUCAGCCAAGUCCUCCAUUCCCGCUUGUCUCAUAUUACAAGCACUCUAAAUACCAAAACAAACUCUUAAGGAAUUUUCAACUCCCAGCGAUAAAGAUUGUUACACUGUUAACCAAUUACCAACGAAAUCACACAUGAAUAAAGGUCAAUUUUUCAAUUAUAUGGCAAUUCAUGAUUGGAUGACACGCUACAUUUCUAGUUAGCACUGUUGCUUGUUAGGAAAAAAAAGAGUAAACCACCAUUUGAGUCUGUUACAUUAGUUCUUACAUAUAGUCCCUAGCUAAAAGCUAAAACUAAGGAAAUUUUAAAUAAGUUCCUGAAAAUACAAUCUGUCUAUCACAUUAGUCCAAAAAUAUAAGAAAAUUGUGAAUUAAUGAUAAUAUUAAUAAAUGUUUAGGGGCCAAAAUGGCAAUAAGUAGUUAUGUUUAAGGACUUAAUGAAUUCUAGAGACUUAUUAGAAAUUUCUUUAAUUUCAAGGAUGAAUUUAUGUGACAAUGCAUUACACUUUCACGAACCAAAAUGAUGAUUCACUAAAGGCAAAAACUGUAACUGAUACAAAGCAAUUGAAUUUCCAAACUGAACAAGGAAUAUUGAAGAUUCCAUUCGUAACAUGAGGAACCCAAAAACUAACUAAAAAAGCAAUUAAAUUUCCAGCAUACGAGGUUUAGCUCAGUCAUUAUUUGAGUCUUUGCAUAAAACAAGAACCCCACAUGCAUGCGCAUUACGCAUGUCAUGUUUCAACCUUCGCCCAUUUCCUCCACAACCGAACAAAACCAAAGACUAAUUGAUAAAACAGUGAUGAAAUCACAACGACAAGAACAAAGAUAACAAGAAAAAAGAAAUUAGAACCCCAUCACCGAAAAUUCACAAAAUCAAGUUAAGAUCAUUAACAGCAUACUCCAAUCAUUCUAGGAAAAGGUAAAGAAGCAAAACCCAUUAAAGAAAACACCAAAAAAAAAAGUGGGGUAUUGAUUAAAAACCCAAAAACAAUUAUUUUAAGUGAAAAGAAAAAAGAAUAGAAAAAUCAGAACCUGUGAAAGGACUCGAAUUUUUUCGAGCUUGUCAACGAAGGUGGAGCCAGCCUCCCUCUGGAGAAUGUCGUUGAGAAGGUUCCCUAGCAAUUUACAGUCAUCUUCGAAGCCCUGGAAGGAGAUUUCCUCCGCUAUGUCGUCAGUGAUGUCCGUCAUUGUAAUGUUCCCACACACACACAACAAAAAACUUAACACACACAAAAAAAAAACGAAUACAGAAGAAGAAGAAAGAGAGUGAGAGAGAGGGUUAAUGUGUGUGUGGUUGAAGGAGUGAGUAGAGGAGAAAGUGGUGGCAUAUAAUAAGGUGGCAAACAAUAACUAACUGGCGCGGAGGAAGGGACCGUUGUGAAAUUGUGACGUUUUACUUCCAUCCACUUUAUAGAUUAAUACAUAAAUUAACAAUUCUUUUCUCCAAUGUUUUAGGAUCAUAUUAUUAUUAUAAUAUUAAUUUAAACUAAGGAUUAAGUCUAUACUUUAAUGCUUAAAAUUUGAAUGCAGAAAAAGUAUUCAUUUAUGGUGUAACAUAGUCAACUGAGCACUGAAUUGUUAUAAACUUAUUUAACGAGUUUGAGAUUUUUAUGAAUUAAAAAAAUUUAUAUAUUAAUCAUAGUAUGCUAGACUCAUAGAAAAAUCAUAUUUUAUAAGAAAGGUAAUUUUUCAUUAUCAAAGUGCAUUUGCUUUUAUCAUAGAAAUAUUGGAGUAUAAUAAUAAUAAUAAUAAUAAUAAUAAUAAUAAUAAUAAUAAUAAUAAUAUAACUCUAAUUAUAUAUUAAUUAAAAUAUCUAACUCUAAUUAUAUAUUAAUUAAAAUAUCUAGGUAUAUUAUUGGUGUAUUUUAAGUGUGUUAAUAAACUAGUAUAAUUUGUUAACGUACUCAUAUUAAAAAAAACAAGUAUAUAUACAUUAGUAAACUGGAAUAUAUUUUAAAAAAAUUCAAAAUGUUAUUUUUUUGUCAAAAUUUAAGCUUGAACAUCUGAACCUAAGUGGCAUUUUUUAGUUAAAUUUUAAAUGUAAUUUUUGGUGAUUAAAAACAAUCAUAAAUUACAAAAUAAAAAUUAAAAGAUCAAAUCACAAUUUGUGGCUGUACAACAACCACCACACACGUCCAAGGCAAGAGAUUCAGAUUGAGGGCCCAAUUGGUGGCUAGAACAACGGUGUUGCUGGCAAAGUUCAAUGUAAUCACUGACAACACCAUCAUAGUCACCCAACGCAUCAUCAAGAAGCUUCCAAUAGGGACAAAUUUCAGGCUCACAAAUUGCAAGUCCACCCCCGCAAAGCCUCCACCCUACACCCUCACAGAUCUGGUUGUCGAUGUAGAGGCAUCCAUCGGAGGAAGAGGCAGUGGUGCACAGUGUCAGGGUUGAGCCAACAGAGGAGGUGGAAGGGCCGACUUGAUGAGGAGGAAGUCAUCGUCGGAGUCCUAGAUUUGGAGGGAGAGAGAAAGAGGGGAAGGCAAACCACUUGUCAUCGAGGUUGUCAUGGAGGUGAGAGGAGGAGGGACAAGGGCAAUAAGGCUUCGGAGUAGAAACAAAGAGGACGAAGGGUAGAGAAAGAGAAGGAAGAGAGGCUAGGAUCGUUGGAUUAGAGAGAGAGAGAAAGAGAAAGGGAAAGAAAAAGAAAAAGUAGGAUAGUGCCUAAUUUUUAGUGGACACACAUGAGAAACUUAGGUUCGGAUUCGUCCAAACCUAACUUCGGGCCAAAAAAUAACACAUUUCUAUUUUGUGAGAACGAAAAACAUACAAAAUUUUUUACAGAGAUAUAUUCCAAACAUUUUGACAUUUAUAAGAACAACAAAUAUAUUUUAGUCUUAUUUUUAUUGUUAAAAAAUGAGUAAUGCUACUAACAUACUCUUUAACACACUCCUUCAUACACACUUUUCUCCAAUGUGUUAAAAUGUAUUGAAAACUGCAAAAUCAAGAGAGAGAAAGUCAUUGAAUACUAUGUGGGACUCACUGAAUUUUGUGAUUUCAAAUAAAUUUCAACAAAUGAGAGAAUGUGUGUUCAAAAGAAUGUGUGACCCUAACAUUUCUCGUUAAAAAAUAUAGUAGUUUACAUAUAUAAUUGUCCUUUAGUUUAUGUUAAUCUAAAUUAAGAGUGAUUUUUUUGUUCAAAUGAAAGGAUACUAGAUGCUAAUAUAGACCUUCUAAUUUUUAAGUGGGUCUAUGUUAACAUUCCCCAUAUAUAGAUAGAUAUAUGAGGAAUGUAUCUUAUAUGAGGGUUAGAAGAUUAAAUUUGGACUGUCUAAUCAAACAUGAAUGAUCAAGAUUUAAUGUCAUGUGACCAAUUAACCACUUAAAAAUUCAUGUUAUUUUUUUAAUAAAUCAUGUGAAUUUUUUAGAUUAAACCUUAAUACUCCACAUAUAAGAUGUUUCCUCUUAUUGGUAUUGUUGUAAACUCAACGAUGGUUUUUGAUAAAACCGUUGUGCUUAGCUUUAAACCAAAGAUUGUUUUGCAAAAACCGGUGUGUUAAGCUUCAAAUCAAAGAAGAUUCUAUAAAAAUCAUCUUGAACACCUUCUUUUAAAGACGGUUUUUCAAAUUAAAAAAUAUUAGUCAAUUAUUGUUUCAUAAAAUAAAAUAGUAAACAAAAUGAAAAAUUAUUUAAAAUGAAUUUUUGUAACCAUUUUUCUGGCAAUUUAAUUUUUUUUAACCGACUUGACUUGUUCAUCAUCAAUUUCUUUUUUUUAGUUUUUUCUUCUUGGGUUUUCUUGACCAAUGACAUGGACAAUUCAUGUGUUUUCCAAAAAAUAAAAUUAUGGUUUUCAUCAGUUUUCAAUUGAAUUGACUAAUAUUUUUUUAUUUUUUCCUCAGAAUAUGCUAGACUCAUAGAAAAAUCAUAUUUUAUAAGAAAGGUAACUUUUUAAUUGUCAAAGAAGGGUAGAGAAAGAGAAGGAAGAGAGGUUAGGAUCAUUGGAUAAUAAUAAUAAUAAUAAUAAUAAUAAUAAUAAUAAUAUAACUCUAAGUGGACACACAUCAGAAACUUAGGUUCGGAUUCGUCCAAGCUUAGCUUCGAACCAAAAAAACAACACAUUUCUAUUUUGUGAGGAUGAAAAACAUACUGAAAAUUUUGCAAGGAUAAAUUCCGAACAUUUUGAUAUUUAUAAGAACAAAAAAUAUAUUUUAGCCUUGUUUUUAUUGUUAAAAAAAAAAAAGAGAAAUGCUACUAACAUAUUCUUUAACACACUCCUUCAUACACACUUUCUCUUAUGUGUUAAAAUGUAUUUAGUUGAAGAACAAGUUCCACAAAAUCUUGAACCUACCAAGUGUGAUGGUUGGGAUUGGUAUGAGUGGGAUCAUUUGCCACACCCUUUGGUUGGGCCUCUUGAGAAAAUGGUCAAAGGAGCUUUCGACCCAUUUCCAAUUUGAUUCUGGUAAUUGGUAUGAUUUUUUUUGUGAGGAUUCUUGGAUAAUCGUACGUUUGGGUUAGGUUUAAUAUGUUUUUGUAUGGAAUUUUUGUUUAGUCUAACUUAUUGUGAUGAAAACAAUUAUGGUUUGAAUCGGCAUUCAGGAUGCACAUAAACUUGCAAAAUGUCUAAUUCGGAAGCAAUACUGAUAUUGUUUGAAUUACGUUCCAUUUAUUCAAACUUAUUUAUUAAAAAUAUUUUUUAAAUAAAAUAAAUAGAUUUUUUAUAUUUUGAGAUGUUUUAAACUGCUUUUGGUUUAAAAAAUAAUAAUUUUCUACUUAUUUUUUAGAAGUUAACUUUAUAUGUUUCUUAAAAAAACACUUAUUUCACAUUUUUUUAAAGUUUAAACAAACUGAUCCUUAGUUAAAUAAUAAAACAAUCAAUUAUUUUGUUACAAAUUAAUGUAAAAAUAAAAAAAUAAUUAUAAUUCAAUUUUUUUAAUAUAAAAAUUUAAAUAACAUUGAAGUCUAACUUUUGACAAAGAAAGAAUAUAAUAAAAAAAUUAAAUUAAGAGGCGAAAUUCAUUUCAUUAUACAUAACUAUAUUAUUUGAUGAAUAUUUUUUAAUUUUUUUAUUAUUGUAAUUAAGUUGUUUUUAUUAUACAUAUAAACAACAGGAUUUUGGUUUUAUAUAUAUAUAUAUACAUCAAGUGUUAGAUCAUAAAUUUUACUCUCAAAAAGUUUCAACAUUAUAUUCAUGAACAUCAAAUCCGUUAUCUUCAAAAUAUCAUGUGUCCAAUCAUUUCGUCUAAAUGGAUGGAAUAAAUCUAGUAUUGUUUUCUUCUAAAGUCAAUUCAUUAGAAGACAUUGUGGACAUUUUUUUGGUACAUUUAAGAUCAUGGUCAUAGUUAAAAAAAACAUGAUUAAAUCAUUUUUUUCUACUGGCAUUCCAAUCUAGGAGCUUGUUUCGAAUUUAAAAUGGGAGAGAACCAUGGCUUGAGACUUGGGAGCUUGAGGAACGAGAGUAAAAUUGAAAGGAAAUCUUAAUAUAUAUUUAUACAAAUCAAGUUAAGUCUUCAGCCAAUGUUUCUCGCACAAACUUAAAAAAGGCUUAAUGUAUUUUUUUUUCUAAUUUGUUAUUGGAAUUUUGGCAAGAGUAUUAAAUCCCUGAGGUAACAAUAGCGAUAAGUAGAGUCGUCUCUACAAGAACUUGUGCAAUAAUUAGGUUAUUUAAUAAUAAAUUUAAUAGACUAUGAAUUUCAAUGUGAUUAAGUGAUCAAAAGUAAAGUCUUAAAAAAAGUAACUAUAAAUAGAAAUAUCAUAAGAAAAUGGUUAAAUUGUAAUUUUAGAAUUUUCUUAAGUCUUUUUUUUGAAAACUAAAGUAAUCAUUUGAAGUAUAACUUGAUUAAAAGAGAUAAAAAAAUUUCACAAAAACAAGUUUAAACGAUGGAAACAUAUUUUAAAAAAUAGAAUAUGUUUUUCAAACAAGAUCAAAUUCAAACACAUCUUUUGAUGUUGUUUGAAAACUUUUAGAACUUGAACUUCAUUUAUUAAUCAUAGGAUUCGACAAAUCCUAAGAGAAUGUCUUGUGAGACAAUUUCUGCGAAACGAAUCUCAGACACAAAGUACUAAAUGAAAUCUUACAUGUCAUCUUUAAUGUUGUAUCAGAUCAUGACUUACUUAUACUUCCGUCUGAAAUAUCAAACAAAAGAUCAUGAAGCAUAAUCUGAUAUCACAUAAGACAAAACUUUUAACCUUUGUAUUUAUUUGCAUCUAAUCAAAAUAAUUAAGGGUCUUGAUUCGUCUUAAAAUAUAUUUUGACUUAACAAUAACAAAAAGUAAAGAUAAUUGCAUAAGAGUAAAGAGUUAAAAAGGAAGAAAGUUAGGAAUAGGAAAAAUUGUCAAGGGUAAACCUUGCGUACCUUGAGUUCCUAUGAAGAUGGAACUUAGUAAUGGAAAGGGCCCAUCAAGGGUGAAUCUUGGGUUUGUCGAGCCUUGGACCAAGGACGUGUUUGCCCUGGGUUUUGUACUUCCAUGGAGUUGUGUCGAGGCUUACCAAGGACGGGCCUUGGAUUUUGUAAACCCUUAUGGAUCAGCAAGCGCGAAGGUUGGGUUUGAUGAGUCUUGCGUGCAGUGCAAGUAUUGUGCUCUUACAUACACGCCUCUUACAAAGUGGCAGGUACUGGAGACACGGUGGUGUCUAUCAGUGGGACUCACCAAAGGAGGACCUUGGGUUUCGCAAGCCCUUUGGAGGAUUGACCAGGGAAUUUUCCGACUUGGGUUUUGAGCACCGUACUCUUGCAUACAUUGCAUACAUAUCACUCGCCAUGGGUGGUAUGCACUGAAGACGUGGUGAUAUGUUUCUGCAUAUAUGUCACUUGCCGUGAGUGGCACACACUGGAGUCUUGGUAGGGUGCUUGUGGGCAUAUGUCACUCACCGUGGGUGACAUGUACUGGAGUCACAGUGAUGCGCUCUUACAUGUAUGUCACUCGCUGUGGGUGGCACAUACUGGAGUCGCGAUGAAAAUAUGCUCUUGCAUGUAUGCCACUCAUCAUGGGUGACACACACUGGAUACUUAGUAGUAUGCUCUUGCAUAUAUGCCUCUUACGAAGUGGCGCGUACUGGAGACUUAAUAACGUGUUGUUACGUGCAUGUCACUCGUCGUAGGAGGCAUGCACUAGAGGCUUAGUAGAAUGCUCGUGCGCACAUGUCGUGGGUGGAACAUACUAGAGGCUUAACUAAAUUCUCGUGCAUAUAUGUCACUCAUCGUGAGUGACAUAUACUGGAGUCGUGAUGCUUAGAAGGAGGGCUUCCCAAGGACGGACCUUGGGUUUUAAGAGCCUUGUAGGUACGACUAUGGAUGUUCUUGUCUUGAUAAGAGACAUGUCAAAAGGAAGUGAUGCAAAAUUUUAUUCAAUGUAUUUAAUUAAGUACAAAUCCCCUUCAUUACCCCAGAUGUGCCACGUUAAAAACCCUUCAAACCAAAACCCUUGAUUUUUCUACUUUUGGGACAUAAGACUUGAUUAGGGAAAAGACUACAACAUUAGGUUUAAAGUGUAGGUCAGCUAAAGUAGAACUUCAGGUGGGUGGCAUUCAACGUUCGUGGAAUUACUUUGCCAUCUAGCUCUUGUAGGCAGUACGCUCCAUUGUCAUGGUUGGUUGUGACCCUAAAGGGACCUUCUCAGUUGGGGCUAAGCUUUCCCGCUCUAGGAUCUUUUUUGGCUUCCUCUCGGACUCGCCAUACGAGGUCACCAGGUUGAAAGGCUCAUGAUUGAACCUUUAUAUUGUAUCUUUUGGUUGGCAACUUCUUCUCUAAUCCUUGUCAUUUCUUGGACUUUAUCAAUGAUUUCAAGUUCCACCCUCAUAUUUUCUUCAUUUUGUUGUUGCUGAAAUAAUAGUCUCCUUGUUGACUAUUCCCCACCUUCUAUGGGGAUCAUGGUGUCUGUGCCAUAUGUAAGUUGGUAAUGAGUUUCGUUGGUGGUUGUUUAGGGUGUACAAUGGUACGCCUAGAGUAUGUUGUAGAGUUCUUCUUUCCAUAGGCCUUUAGACUUGUCAAGUCUAGUACGCAGGGCCCUGAGAAUGACUCGAUUAGCUGCCUCUGCAUGUCCGUUAGUCUAAGGAUGUUCAACAGAGGUGACUAGGUGCUUGAUCCCUAUCCUUGUCAAGAAGUCUUCGUAAGUCUGAGCUUUGAAUUGAGUGUCGUUGUCGGUGACGAUAGCAUAUGGGAGGUCGUACUUGGAGAUAAGGUAUUUCUAGGUGAACUUUUCCACCUCGCUGGCCAUAAUUUCCUGAAGUGGUCUUGCUUCUAUCCACUUGGUGAAGUAGUUAAUAAUGACAAGUAAGUAUUUCACAGCUCCUAGGGCCUUUGGUAGCAGUCCCAGUAUGUCCAUUCCCACAUGGCGAAAGGGCAAGCGCCACAUGGCGAAAGACCAAGGGGAGCUUAGACUGUGAAGGUUGUUAGGAGAAGUGCAUGGAACGUCUGCAAACUCUUGACAUCUUCGGCAUCUCUUGGUAAAGUUGAGGGUGUCUAUCCUAAGUGUUGGCUAGUAGUGGCCCGCUCGCACCGCUUUAGUGGCCAAGGAGCGUCCUCUGGUAUGGAGACCGCAAAUCCAUUCGUGAAGUGACUAUUUAGGCACUUGAGUAAGAAUGCUGUCAACCCUCUUUUGAAUAGCUUGUCAUCAAGGAUGGCAUAGUAAUUGGCCUUACAUUUGAGGUGUUGGGCUUCGUCCUCAUUUGGCGAUAGGACCCCCCAAAUUAGGAAGUUCUUGUAGGAGAUCAUCUAGUUUGGUUACUUCUCUUCUCCUGCCAUAAUUUCCUCAGCAUCUAUGGUUGGAGUUUAAAGUGUCUCCUAGAUGAUUGUCUUGAGGUGCCAACACCUUCUUAAUGCUAGCUAGCUUAGAGAGUAGGUCCACUCAAAUGUUGCUUUCCCUGGGGAUGUAAUACAUUUAGAAACACCCAAAAUUGUUGAUGAGAGACUUCGCUAUGUGAUAGUACUUGAGUAGUACUGUUUCCUUGGUCCGGUAUAUGUUGGCAACCUGUCCUUGGACAAGUUAUGAGUCUAUGUAGCUUCGUAGCCACUUGGCUUCAACUUUUCUUGCUAACUUUAGACCUGCAAUGAGUGCUUCGUGGUUUGCCUGGUUGUUUGAGGCUCUGAAGUUGAGCUUGAGGGCUUGCUCUAGAGUGAUAUUGUCAAGGCCUUCGAGGAUAGUCCCUACCCCGCUUCCUUUUACGUUGGACACACCGUCAACGAAAAGGAUCCACCAGUCUAGGGUGGUUUGUCGUUUCCGACGAAUUCUACCAAAAAUUCAGUCAUGAAUUGCGUCUUCAUGGGGUCGCGUGGUUCGUACUGGAUGUCAAACUCUGAAAGUUCGAUGGAGCAGGCCACCAUCUUUCUUACGAGUUCAGGAUUUCUCAAAAACCUGCUUGAUGGGGUAGUUCGUCUUGACUAGCACUUGAUGACUCGGGAAGUAAGGCUUGAGUCGUUGGGCCAAGGGAAUGAGUGUUAGCGCAACCUUUUCAAUCAUUUUGUAGCGUUUCUCGGUGUCAUGGAGCAUAUGACUGGAGAAGUAGAUAGGGAGUUAGUUCUUCCCUUCCUCUUGUAUAGGGGCUGAGCUGACAACUUCGUCAAUUACUGAGAGAUACAAGAGCAAGGGUGCUCUUGGCCUUGAUCGACUCAAAGAUGGUAGUGUGGUUAUGGUCUUCUUGAAAGCUAGAAAGGCUUGUUCACAAGUCUCGUUCCAUUAAAAAGGCUUAAUUUUCUUGAGCAGUUUGUAAAAUGGUUUCGCCUUUUCGGUGAGCUUUGGGAAGAACCUAGACAGGGAUGCUAGCCUACCGUUGAGCUUCUGAACUUCUUGUAUGUUGGUUGGGCUAUGCAUCUCCAGUAUGACAGUGCAUUUGUCGGGGUUAGCUUCAAUCCCCUGGUGGGUGAUCAUAAAACCAAGGAACUUGUCGCCGCCUACUCCGAAAGUACACAUUUUAGGGUUAAGGCGCAUUCGUAUUUUUGUAGUUCCCCGAAGACUUCUUCCUUGUCCGCCACAUGUUGGGGUAUGCUUUGAAACUUGAAAACUAUGUCGUCCACAUGUACCUCGACAUUUCAUAUGAUUUUUUGUUUGAAGACUCAGUCCAUCAGUCGUUGGUAUGUCGCGCCUAUGUUUUUUAGGCCGAAAGGCAUGACCCUUUAGUAAAAUUUGGCAUCUUCAAUGAUGAAUAUUUUUUUCUCCUCGCCUGGAAGAUGCAUUCUAAUCUAGUUGUAUCAGGAAUAGGCUUCUAGAAAGCUUAGCACCUAGAACCCGAAUGAUCUAUCGACUAGCCUGUCGAUGCUGGAUAUAGGGUAUGCAUCUUUGGGGCAUGCCCUGUUCAGUUCAAUGUAGUCGAUGCACAUGCGCCAUUUGUCGUUGGCCCUUUUGAUCAUGACGACAUUGGCGAGCUAGGUACAUAACCUAACCUCUCUGAUGAAGUUUGCGUGGAGUAGCUUGUCAACUUUUUCUUUGACAGCUUUAUGCCACUUUUCUCUCGUCUUCCUUUUCUUCUAUGAUACUUGUUUGGCCUGGGGCCAGAUAGCAAGUUGGUGGAAGAUUAUGUCAAGGUGGAUUCUCGACAUUUCAGAUGGUUGCGAGGCAAAGAGAUCAAUGUUUUUGCGUAGCAUGUCAGCAAGGCACAUGUAUUCAUGAGCGGAGAGGUCUCUAUUAAGCCAUGUGCACUACCCUAAUUUAGGUCUAAGUUGCAACUGCGCAAGAUCUUCAAUGGGUUUCAGGCCUCUAUUGAAGGUGUCAUAUCGCGGAUCUAUGUCAAAUUCACCACCCAAGCUAGCUUGGUAGACAGUUAAGGCUCGAACAUGAGACCCUUCAUCCACUGUCAUGACUUGUGUGCAUUCAGCCACUAUAGGGUGAGGCAUGGCAGGCUCCUGAAUGGGAGGAUAUGGUGCUACCUUCAGGCUCUCUGCAUAGCACUGGCGUGCUUACUUUUGGUCAGCCUUAACUAUUACAAUCUCCCAUGUCAGUGUAGGGAAUUUCGUUGUCAAAUGGGGCAUGGAGGAUAUGGCUCCCAACUCCUUGAGUGUCUUUCUUCCUAUUAAGGCAAAGUAUGAUGUGGUCGCGUCAACCAGUAGAUAUCUGAUGGUGAAGCUCCUAGAGAGCUUGCCCUGACCGAAGGUGGUCAUCAAGUCCACAUAGCCUCGGGUUUCGACUCUCUCGCCUAUAAAGUCGAGGAAUGGACUUGCGUAAGGGUGGACAAUGUCGAGUGAAACCUCGAGUCUCUGGAAUGUUUUUCAAUACAGGAUGUUAGGGAAAUUGUCCUGGUCGAUGAGGACCCUAGACACCAUGAAAUUCACUAUGAUGAUGGAGACAACCACCGGGAUUGUCUUGGUUGAUGAGAUUGAUGCCCCUGAAGUCCUUGUGCCGUAAAGGUGAUAGGAGGGACACUUCGCUAUAGGAGGUGUCGACAAAAUUAAUGUUGAUGUCCCAGAUAGUGUGUAGGUGCUGCUUUCGGGACUGGUUGGACUAUCCUUCAUAGGAAAAGCCUCUAGCGAUGGUGUUGAUUACACCUCUGAUGUGCUGGCGGAUUCCUAUUCUGGUGAAGGUGGUCGCUCGUGCCGCUGUGGUUGUUGUCUCUGUCUACCUCGGUCUUCCACUCUUCUCCUGUCUACUUCUUGGUUCUUGUGUUGCUCCUCUUGAUGUCCUUUAGGCCUUGCUCCUGCCUGGUAGUGGUCUGGUCUCUUAACAAACUGGGCUAAGUAUCCAGCCUGUAUAAGUUCUUCGAUCUUGCCGUUCAAGGCCCAACAAUCUUUGGUGUUGUGUUCAAUACUGCGGUGAAACUUGCAGUACUUGGUUGCGUCUGACCCUGGCCUCAGAGAUUUCAUUUGGGGUAGCCGGACAGGUACCUCCAGGUCGAAGGCUUCCUCAAGAAUCGUGGUACGAUUGGCCGUCAAGGGUAUGUAACGCUCAUACCGGGCCUUUUGGAGAGAGGUUGGCACUUGUCUAGCUUGUGCCUCUUAUCUGACUUGUGCAAGUAGGUCUUGGUGUUUGCUUUGCACCUUUCACACUUUUGUUUGACUUGGUAGACUUCAUUCCAGAAUUUGGACAUUUCUUCUAUCUGGAUGUAACCCUUGGCUCGUUCGUGCGGCUCAUCCAUGCUACCAGGUAGUUUUUUGCACAAACUAUCUACGAACUUGCUAGGGUGUAGUGCGAGAAGCAUGGAAUGCAACUUUAUCUCAGGGUUGAGAUUUCGGAUCUGGACGACUGUGCGCCCAAAUUUGCCAAUGAACUUUCUGAGGGAUUCAUCGUCUGCUUGUCGUAGAUUGGCCAAGGCAGCCAAGGUCAUGCAAUGAGACCUACUGGUGGCGUACUGCACACUGAAUCGUUCGAUGAGGGUGUCGAAGCUAUCUAUGGAUCUUGGUGGGAGUCCACCAUACCAUGUCAAUGUUGCUCCCUCGAGGGAUAUAGGGAAGACACGACAUAGAAUUGUGUCGUCAUUGGUGUAAAGGUUUGUCUAUGUUAGGAAGGCGUCCAAAUGCUCGUCUGGAUCUGUUGUCUCAUCAUACCGCUCGAGGUUAAGUGAUUUCCACCCCAAGGGUAUGUCUACCUCCAUAACGCGGUCGAUAAAAGGAUGUCAAUGGACAGUCUGUGUUGUUGGACGAUGCAUGAGAGAGACUCGGAUCGUCUGCAGUGUUGCUUGAGCGUCGGGGGUGUGAUUCCCCUAUAAGACUUUUUAUGUUAUGUUCACUUAACCAAGUCGUGUGUGCCUCGUUUAAACGAGUUUAUUAGAAAUGCCUAAUGCUAUGAACCCACUUGUAGUAUAAAAAGGUGGCCUAAAACACAAAGCAACGGUUCCAAAGUUUAUGAAUUCCAAGGCACAAAGGUAAGAGAGAGUUGUGUGGUGGUUUCCAUGCUUAGAGAUUCAUCCCUAAUUGUCUGUUUAUCAAUUUUUCUUUUCCCAUGGUUAUGAGUAGCUAAAUCCUUUGUUUGUUGGGAUUUAAUGUAAUUGGAUACUGCUCACAUGUAAUUAUUGUAUUUUCCUUAUUCAAUAAAGUACUAUUAUUGUUUCUCUUCUAUAUUUAUUAUUUUUUCUUGGUCUGAUCAUCUUAUUGCAUGAUUCUCUCUAUUCAAUUGCUUUGCAAAAUUAAAUUGGAUUGAGAACAAAAGAGAUCAACCAAUGAACUUUAUGCCUAGGGAUAGGGUAACGAUUAUUGGUUAUCAUUUAAAACCCUAGUUCAUAUUGUUGGUCAAUUGAUUAUAUUACUCAAGGGAUUGAUAGUGCAAUCAAGACACUUUGGUUUUCUCACUUAAAAGAUUAAGGUUAGCAAAAAUUGCAGGUUAAUGAAAAUAUAAGCAAAAAUUGCAGGAAUAAUUUGUAAUGCAUGUUACGUUAACCCAAUGAAGUUAAUCUCCAAUGAUUUCAUCCAUUGAUACAAACCAAGUUUUCUGGGCACACUAAGCUUUUGAAAAAAAUCAACAAUCAACUUUAUUCCUUUUUAACUCUUUACUCUUAUGCAAUUGUCUUUACUUUUUGUUAUUGUUAAGUCAAAAGAUAUUUUAAGAUGAAUCAAGACCCUUAAUUAUUUUUAUUAGAUACAAAUAAAUACAACGGUUAAAAGUUUUGUCUUAUGUGAUAUCAGAUUAUGCUUCAUGAUCUUCUGUUUGAUAUUUCAGACAGAAAUAUGAAUAAGUCAUGAUCUGAUACAAUAUUAAAGAUGACAUUUAAGACUUCAUUUAGUACUUUGUGUCUGAGGUUCAUUUGGCAGAAAUUGUCUCACAAGACAUUCUUUCAGGAUUUGUCGAAUCCUAUGAAGAAUAAAUGAAGUUUAAGUUCUAAAAGUUUCCAAACAACAUCAAAAGAUGUGUUUUACUGUGAUAGAUCUACUUUGACUAAAAGGAACUGAUUUUUUGUUAUAGUGAUCAACACGAAAGCCAAUCAUAGUGGUUUUCCUGCAUGAAGCAGGAUAUGCGUUUAAUGCAAGCAUUAAAUGAUCUAAUAACCACAAGCUUCAGAUGCAAGCUCAAAGGAAAAUUAUAAUCGUUUAGAAACAACAAACACUUGAAAAUGAAAACCUAUAAAUACUAGAUGCUUUGAAGAAAUGAGUAACGAACCUACACGCUAUCAUUCAAAUUCUUUAUGUAGAAAACUCUUUGUAUAUUCUUAUAAAGUUUGAAAAGCUCUCAAAACAUCUUGAAUACUCUAAGACAAAAAACUAAAUGCUUAGAUUUCACAUUUGUUUGUAAGAUGAUUAAGAUUUAAUCAGUUAGCAAAUCAAACAACAUAUCUUCUUAUUUGUAUAGAACCAACAGUGGCAUGGUAGGACAAAGAAUAUUCGGUUGUUAAAGCUUGGCGAUAAACUUUGUUGUGAGAGCUAAAAGUAACAGUGACAAAUACUUGUAACUUAUUGCUAACCAAAAACUGAACUUCGUCUGAAUGGUAGACACAAACCAAUAUAAAUAUGUGUCUUACUUUCUUUUUAGUUAUCUUUUGUCUUAAACUGACAUAGUGUUUGAAUUUGAUCAUGUUUGAAAAACAUAUUCUAUUUUUUAAAAUAUGUUUCCAUCGUUUAAACUUGUUUUUGCGCAAAUUUGUUAUCUCUUUUUAUUAAGUUAUACUUCAAAUGAUAACUUUAGUUUUCACGAAAAAAGACUUAAGAAAAUUCUAAAAUUACAAUUUAACCCCUUAUGAUAUUUCUAUUUGUAGUUACUUUUUUUAAGACUUUACUUUUGAUCACUUAAUCACAUUGAAAUUCAUAGUCUAUUAAAUUUAUUAUUAAAUAACCUAAUUAUUGCACAAGUUUUUGUGGAGACGACUCUAUUUAUCGCUAUUGCUACCUGAGGGAUUUAAUACUCUUGCCAAAAUUCCAAUAACAAAUUGGAAAAAAAAUACAUAAAGCCUUCGUUAAGUUUGGGCGAGAAACAUUGGCUGAAGACUCAACUUGAUUUGUAUAAAUAUAUAUUAAGAUUUCCUUUCAAUUUUACUCUCAUUCCUCAAGCUCUCAAGUCAUGGUUCCCUCCCAUUUUAAAUUCGAAACAAGCUCCUAGAUUGGAAUGCCAGCAGAAAAAAAUGAUUUAAUCAUGCUUUUUUUAACUAUGACCAUGAUCUCAAAUGUACCAAACAAAUGUCCACAAUGUCUUCUAAUGAAUUGACUUUAGAAGAAAACAAUACUAGAUUUUGUCCAUCCAUUUAGACGAAAUGAUUAGACACAUGAUAUUUUGAAGAUAAAGGAUUUGGUGUUCAUGAUAUUUUGAAGACAAAUGUUCAUGAAUAUUUUUUAUCUAAAACUUUAUAUAUAUAUAACCAAAAUCCUGCUGUUUAUAUGUAUAAUAAAAACAACUUAACUACAAUUAUAAAAAAUUAAAAAUAUUCAUCAAAUAAUAUAGUUAUGUAUAAUGAAAUGAAUUUCUCCUCUUAAUUUAAUUUUUUUAACGUUUUUUAACUUUACCAAAAUAUUCUUUCUUUGUCAAAAGUUAGACUUCAAUGUUAUUUAAAUUUUUAUAUUUAAAAUAUUAAAUUAUUAAUUAUUUUUUAUUUUUACGUUAAUUUGUAACAUAAAAUAAUUGAUUGUUUUUAUUAUUUAACUAAGGAUCAGUUUGUUUAAACUUUAAAAAAAUUGUGAAAUAAGUGUUUUUUUAAGAAACAUAUAAAGUUAACUUCUCAAAAAGAAGUAGAAAAUUAAUAUUUUUUAAACCAAAAGCAGUUUCAAACAUAUCAAAAUAUAAAAAAAUCUGUUUAUUUUAUCUAAAAAAUAUUUUUUAAUAAAUAGGUUUGAAUAAAUGGACCCUAAUUCAAACACUAUCAAUGUUGCUUCUGAAUUAGACGUUUUACAAAUUUACGUGCAUCCUGAAUGUCAUUCAAACCAUAAUUGUUUUCAUCACAAUAUGUUAAACUAAACAAAAAAUUUCCAAGAAUCCUCACAAAACAAAAUCAUACCAAUUACCAAAAUCAAAUUGGAAAUGGGUCGAAAGCUCCUUUGACCAUUUUCUCAAGAGGCCCAAGCAGAGGGUGUGACAAAUGAUCCCACUCGUACCAAUCCCAACCAUCACACUUGGUAGGUUCAAGAUUUUGUGGAACUUGUUCUUUAACUACAUCCACAUCCACCAUUGCCCUCAUGAAAAUGGUCACAUAGUGACACUUUUUUGGCUGCUCUAACAUAGUUUGUUACUGUCAAAAUCUGAGUUUCCUAUGUCCAACUAUGUUUCCUCUUUCACUUCUCUUGCAGCGCAUUCCUCAAAACUCUCCUGAAAAAUUAAAAUGCCCCCAAAUUAGUUAGAUAAAAUAAAUUUAAUUAACAAUUUGUUAUAUUUAUACUAUCAUUUAAGAGUUUAAUAUCUAUGUAAUAAUAGAAUAAAUCAAACUUACCAUACCUGAUGAAUUGUGAUUAGAUGAUUCUAUAAAAUAUAUUACACUAUCUAUGCAUAAUUCUUUUCUCAUCAUUUAAUUAUUAAACAAAGUACUAUAUUUUUUUAGUUAUCUACAAUAACAGUAAUGGAGUUUAAACAUAAAACAUCAUACAAACUUAGUAACUUUCCUUUCACCCAGCUAACCUUGGUGGGUUUUAAUUAUAAAUGAUAAUUUUUAAUUUUAUUUUAUAAAAAUUACUUUAAAAAUAAUGCUUAGAGUAACUUUAAUUAAAAAGUAUUAGGAACAUAAUCAUCUAAUUCUAACACAUUUUUUAUUUAAAAUUUAUUAAAAAUUUAAAAAGUAAAACUCUUUUAAAAAAAUAGUUCAUAAUAAAGAUUAUGUUUAAAAGAAUAUUUAAAAAAAUAUAUUACUAACAUGUUUUAUUUAAUUAAUAAUACAAUUUUGUUUUACUAAUAAUAAAGCAUCAAAAUUAAACUAAACACAAAUAAAAUUUGCACUUAAAAAAAAUAAGCUGCACUAACUAAGGUCAGUUUAAUAAUAAUAAAAAUUCAUAAUUUAUAUAAAAUUCUAAUUUAUUUUUACGCCCAUAUUAAGUUCAAAUAAUAAUAAUAAUAAUAUAAAAACAAAACUAAGCAUUACUCGAUUAUUUCGUUUUCAAAAUGUUUGACGAAAAAAAAAACAUAAUAUGAGAGAGAGUAAGGGAGUGACCGAAUUCGAGGUGGCCGCCUAGAAAGGUGAAGGUGGCGUUGCCGACAGCGGAGCGGCAACGACCGAGGAGGAUCAAUCUGCCCUUCAAGAGGAAGACGACAACCACCACCCGCAGCUCCGACUCGCCACUGUUGUUGUUUUUGUUCUCUAUUUCUUUUAGGCUCUUGUUUCACCUCAUUGUUACUAUGUUGCUAGUCAACACUCAACUUCUGCAGUGUUGAAUUAUCCAAUAAGUGAAUGACAUGUGGUCUAGUGGUUGUUUUUCUACGAACAUGUGUAAACAAAUUAUUUGUUAGAUCAAAAUUAAUUGUUACAAAAUUUAUUAUCUAAAUUUUCAUGCGCAUUAAAUAUUAAAAAUUUUAGUGUUACAUAUAGUGACAUUAAUUAUUUUAUAAUAUAAUUGAUUUAUUAGUUUAGUUGGUUAGAGUGUUGUGCUAAUAACACAAAACUCGAAGGUUUGAUUCUUGUUUGGGUCAUUAAUUUUAAAUUAAUUUGUAAAACAUUUUUGAAAAAAAAAUAAAAAAAAAAUUAUUUGAACCACUUAUGGAUUGGACAAUCCUUAAGCUUCAACACUCGUUUGAUGGGUGCACCAUCUCUUAUGCUGGGUGCGUGUAACAAAGCCCCAUUAUGGAAUGGACAUCCAUCAACUACCAUAGAAUGGACUUAAUUUAGUUUAUUGGGACCGAUAAUAAUAGUCGUUUACAACACUUGUCAUAAACUUGUAAAAAUAAAUGUAAUAAAUUUUGUAGGGAGAUAAUUACAUUAUUUUAAAAAUUAAUAUAUAAGUAUAUUUUCCUUCAAUUAUACAUUGUCGUAUAUGAUAAAAUUGUUGAUUUUAAUAAUAAUUAUUUUAAAAUCAUAUUGAUAAUAUUUUUUAUUAAUCAAUAAUGUUAAUACAAAUAUAUAUUUACUUAACUUACAUUUAAAAGAUUUUUUAAAUGACCUAUAGUUUUACCUUUUAACCAAAUAAGUUUUUUUUAUAAAAUUUUAUGCAUAAGGUUAACUUUUUUUAUAUAAAAAAAAAAGUUUGGCUUAACCUAGGCUCUAUAUAGGAUAGGCCAUAGGCUUGUAUGGAGCAGUUUGAUGUAUUCUUUUUGCUACAAACUAGAUCUUGAUAAAAAAAAAUGUAUAUAUUUAAAAUUCAAUAGUACCAUCCAUAAAAAAAUUCAGUAGUACCUUAAACAAUAUUAUUUUCUAUAAAAGAAUUGUCGUUCUUGUGAAACCAGAAACAAAACACUCAGAAUUCUUGUGAAACCAAAAAACAAAAAACUUAGAUGAGUAGAUACCCUUUUUUUAGUCUUGAUGGAACUGGAUAUAAUAAUUGAUUUGAAGGACUUCAUUUAACCCCAUUUUAAAUAAUAUAAGAAAAAAUAAAAAAUCUUAGUCAAUUCAAUUGAAAAAUCUGCACCAGUCCUCGAUUUGGCCGAUUGCACCAAAUUGGCUCUUAGCAAAGUUAAUUCUGAGACCAGAUACCAUUUUAAAUCUUUUGAGAAUAGCCUUAAUAACUGUGACAUUAUCCAUAGAUUGUUCCCCAAAGAAGAUAGUAUCAUCAGCAAAUUGUAGUAUGUUGACUGGGAUCUUUUUCUUUCCCACCAUAAAACUGUGGUAGCAGUUUUUGGAAACAGCUGCCCUCAUCAUGCCUGUCAAGCCUUCAGCAACUAGGUCAAACAAAAAGGGAGCCAAUGGAUCCCCUUGUCUCAAGCCUCUUUGAGGUUUAAAUUCAGAAGUAGGACUUCCAUUCACUAGUAUAGAUAUUGAUGUUGAUGAAAGACACCCCUUAAUCCAGCCAAUCCACUUUUCAUGAAACCCCAUUCUUCUCAUCAUGUAAAAGAGGAAAUGCCAAGACACAGAGUCAUAUGCUUUUUCAAAAUCAACUUUGAACACCAAACAAGGUCUUUUAGAUCUCCAAACCUCCUCAACAAUCUCAUUAGCAAUUAAAACUCCAUGAAGCAACUGUCUGCCUUUAACAAAAACUGAUUGCCUUUCAUCUAUGAGAUGAUUCAUAACCUUGCUAAGCCUAUUUGAUAGUACUUUGGCAAUAAUUUUGUAGACACAGCCUAUUAGAGAUAUUGGUCUGAAAUCACUAAUAAGUUGAGGGUCCUUGAUCUUGGGGAUAAGAGCAAUGAAUGAUGAGUUGAGACCCUUGGGGAAGACUGCAUUCACAUAAAAUUCUGAGAAGAACCUAAGGAACUCAGGUUUCAGCUCCUUCCAGAAGUGCUUAAUGAAGCUAAAAUUAAGCCCAUCAGGCCCUGGGCUUUUUUCACUGCCACAAGCCCACACUGCACUAGAUAUCUCCUCCUCUUUGAAGGGUUCCACCAACAUCUCACUUUGGAUUGAACGCAAGACAUUAAAAGAGACCCCAUCUAAGUUGGGUCUGUGCAGGUAAGGUUCAACAAAUCUGCCUUUAAAAUGCUGAAGAACUGCAUCCUUAAUGGCAGAAGGGUUUUCUACCCAACUACCAUUAAUUUGCAUCCCCCUCAAGGCAUUCCUCCUUCUGCUAGAAUUAAUGAUUUUGUGGAAGUAGGAAGUGUUGCUAUCUCCCUCUUUGAUCCACUUACAUCUAGACUUCUGUCGCAAUAUUGAUUCAUGAAGAAUAGAUUGCUCCCAAAGGUCAGAUUGGGCUUUCUUGAGCUCUUGAACUUGCUGAUCAGUAGGUUGAGCUGUGAGGGAAUUCUCCAAGUCAUUCAGCUUAUGCUGGAUUAGCUUUACCUUGUUGCCCAAGUCUCCACAAUUUUCUUUGCUCCAGGUUUUUAACCUUUGCUUAAUUUUCUGAAGUUUGCAUUUCAAGGCAUAUCCCCCCCAUCCCAUAGGCUGAUUAGCAAACCAGCAGUCCCUCACCACCUUAUUGAAGUCCUUAUUGUGCAACCAAGCAUCAAAAACCCUAAAAGGCUUAAGGCCCCAAUCAAUAUUUUUAGAAUUCAAAAUGAUAGGGCAAUGAUCUGAGUAGUUCCUUUCAAGGUUGUGUUGGGAACUAUCAGGCCACUUGGAUACCCAAUCAUCAAAGACCAGCACUCUGUCUAACUUGCUCUUACAAGAACCAUUAGGC